UUGUUCCUCCGCGAAUGGAAAGGCAGAUAAAUUGAGAUCUAAAAGCUGCUGCCAGAGGCAACGGCCGGGAACGUAGAAGUCAAUCCGUUGAGCUUCAUAAUCUAUGUGCUUCACCAAUAGCUUCAGCGAACGUGGUAUCUUCAGCAGGGUCUGUUUGUUUUCUGAGCAGGAAAGCUGAAACCCAGGAUGAGGAUAGCCGCAGUGGGGAGACUGCUGGCCUUCUAAACGGAAGGGGAAACGGACAGGUGGAUCCUGGUGGUUGCACCGCCGCACCUUGCAGUCGUCUUGGAUUGGCACUGCUUCUGCAACAUUCACAGCUAAGAUAAAGCAGAAUAACGAGUAAAUUAACAUUGUUCUUACUAACUUGUGAGCCCCUGAAGUGAAACGGGCUUUAAAUAGUUUCAUUGACAUAGGUGGUUCAGCCCUUGAGAGUUCCAAUUAUGCACGCAACGCAGCUGCUGCUUUACUACAUAGCUUUGUCUCGUUUAACAGGGUCUUCAACUCUUCGUCCUCUCUUUGUCCUCUUUUAUGAGUAAAUGUUGGACAUGUUUGAUUGUUAGCAACCCUUUCUAACCUUGUUACUAAUUUUCUUUUAUUCCCGUUAGUUGUAGUAAAAUUUGAGGAAAAAACACUGAACAUGAGAAUGACUACCGAUUUGCUGUUGUGAUCAUAGUGGGGUCAGCUUGACUGACUUUUGUUUUUCCACCUUCGUUUCACUACAUUUUGUUUGGUAUGACUAAGAAGUUGACUGACUUUUAUGGGUUCUUUUUAAUGUCUAUCGUUUCCUUUCCAAUGUAGGUGGUUUUUUUAUCACUUUCUUUUUUUUCUAAUUUAUCUUUUAUUUUUGGAUUUUAAUUAAAAAUGGCAAAACUCGAAUCAUAUGUUUUUAAAUUACUUCUUUUAGAUACAACAAAUUUUUUAGAAGUGGAUACAAGACAAUGAGAUGAUUUUUUCCACAUGAGUAUGAAACAAUUAUAGGCAUUGUUUGCUCUACUCACCUUAUCUCGAAAUAAUCUUUUACCUUUCUUUGUAUAUAAUUAUUAAAAUGAUAAAAAUGUAAUAAUAUAUUAUAGGAAAAAUUCAUAUGUUUUAUAUUUAUAUUUUUAAAAAAUUAUGUUUAAAUAUUUUCUUGUCUUAAAAAAAGUAAAAUUAUUAAAAUAACUAGAAAUAAAAAUUAAAUUAAAGUAGAGCGAAGAAAGGUGAGAUGGGAUGGGGAUGAAUGCUUCUAAUAUCUAUGCGGUUAUAGUAAUUUUUCAGAUUAUACAUCCAAAGUGGAGAGAGGUGGGUGGUGGAGUAAAGCAUGUCAACUGUGGAGCGAUGAUGGAUUUGACAACAUUUAACCUGUCUUGCUCCAUUGCAUAAUGCUUAAUAGUAUGCCUUCUUUUUUUAUUAAAUCAUUACAAUCAAUUUUGAAUUGAUACUGUUCAGAUAAACCAAAUAGUUUCAUUUAAGUGAUAAAUCGAAACAAUAAAAUCUGUGGAUCAAAGUCUAUAAUCAAUGUGCAUAGUAUCGCCCAAUUGAUCAAAUAGGACUCUUUUAACCCUUUUAAAUUGGCAUGAGUCAUAGAACACAUGGAGAAGCCCAUCCACUUGAAGCAUUGGUGGCUCAGUGAAAUACUCCGGUAAAACUAGAGUUACCAUGGUGAAUAUUUGUAAUCCUAAGGGAUUAAAUUAUUAACUUAAUUGCAGAAAUACCAAAAUUCAAGAAUAUUUUAGUAAUUUUCUAUUUUCCUCGAAUUUCCACCCAAUCUUGAUCUAAAUUGAUAUUUCAUUCAAUUUAUUAACUUAAAUAAUAAAACAAUUCAUUUCAUGCAAUUUGGUCACUUUUUGACAUUUUUACCAAUUUACCCUUAAAAUAUUAUUUUUAUUCAAUUUAGUCCUUGAACCUAAAACAUGCAAAUUGGUUAUUUUUAAUUAAAACUCAUGCUAGUUGAACAAUCAUUUAUUUUCCUCCUCCUCCUCUCCAUUCCACAUCCUUAAUGUAUAAUAUGCUUAUAUGUAACAUUUCUAUAAUUCCACCAUUUAUUUAUAUAUUAAUUCAAAGCUAUCAACUUGAGUCAUAGUCACUAAAUCAUUUAUAUCUUUAGCUACGGAACUCCGAAUUAAGAUCCGCUAAAUUCCUAUGAAACUAGACUCGUAUAUCUUCUUACCAUAAAAUUUUAAGAAUUUUUGGUUUAGCCAAUAAGUACAGUUUAUUUUUUAAAUUUUUUCCUAUUUCACUGUUUGACAGUUCUGAACCCUCUUGACUAAAAAUUAAUUAUCUCUUUUUACAGAAUUUGGAUGAUAUUUCCGUUUUUUUCUAUUGAAAAUGGAACCAUUAAUUAUUUUAAAAAUAUAAAUUUAAGCCUAUAAUUAUUUUUAUUCAAUUUUUUAUGAUUUUUCAAAUUCAAAAUAGGGGAACCCGAAUUCAUUCUGACCUUGUCUCACAAAAUUUAUUAUAUCUCAUGAUUUACAAUUCCAUUACUUACACCGUUUAUUCUAUGAGAAACUACACUUAAUAAGCUUUAAUUCCAUGUUUUUUUCAUCCUAUAAUUCGAUUUCCAAAAUUUAUGGUGAUUUUUCAAAUUUAACCUACUGCUGCUGUCCAAAACUGUUUUAGUGCAAGAUGUUGAUUACUAAGUUUAUAACUCCCUUAUUCCCUUUCUCUAUAAUAUUUCCCAUCAUUUUCACUUAUUUCCCUUCACUAAUAUAUCAAGAACAUAAGACUUUAUUUAAGAAAACUCUACUAUAACAUCAUUUCCAUACUUUUUCAACAAUAACAAACUUAAAAAUAUAUUGAAAUCUUGAAGUUCUUACCUUGUGCUAUUGAUUUCAAUCUUUAACUUGAUUUUCUCUCUCCUCCAGCUUCUUUUUCUUGAAUCUAACUUGACAUUCUAGCUCCCCAUUGUCUCUUUAUUAUUUUUCUCUCUUGGAAGCUAUGGAAAUUCUUUUGUUUUCUAGGUGAAAAUAGUGAAUUUUUGGUGAAAGGACCAAAUUGUAAAGAAAGAAAAACUUUCUUUCUUCUCUUCUCUUCUAACGUUGGUUGCAUGGAAAGAUGAUGAUUUUUCAUCAUCUUUCCUCCCUUUUAUAUUAAUCAUCUAAUAAUAAAAUAAUACUAAAAAUCUUAAUAAAAUAUUAAUUAAAUAACAUUUAUCUAAUUAAUUAAUUAAAAAUAUCACAAACAUCAUCAUUACCUUCUAGAAUUCUCUCUCUAUUUGACCAUUUUGCCCUUUAUAAUCUUUUGAAAUUUCAUUCUUGAGUCAUCACUUAAUUUGGAAAAGUUACAAUUUAGUCCCUCAAAGUUCCUCACUUUUUCAAUUUGGUCCUAAUUCAUCCAUUUUCCUUAGUUUCUAGAUUAUUCCACCCUUAAAAUAUUUACACUAUUUGUCCUUCAAAUUUUUCAUAUUUACACUUCAACCCCUUAAAUUUUGAGUAUUUACUCUUGGGCAACAAAACUUUUCUCACGUUUGCAAUUUAAUCCUUUAUUGAAUUAAUAUAUCAUAAUAUACUUCCCAAUGUUGACAUAACUCAAUAUUACCUUUUUUAUCACUUUAUUUCCUUAUUUUACUAUAUCAAUGAUAUUAUCUUACUUUAUUACUGUAGUAAAUUUCGGGGUAUUACACAGGGAGUAUAUGAAGGAGUUCAGUGGAUCAUGUUCCAUAUUUUUUAAUUGGGUGAGAAAGAGACAUUUUUCUCCCUUAUAGAUAGGUUGAAACCUUGGGCGAAGCAACAUUUGCAACGUCGAGGGGUCAAAGAUCUUACCAAAGCAAUGAUCGUGGUGGAGUCCUUAAUUAAGCUUGUUCCAAGGAAAGAAAAGUUUGAGUCUUCCAAGACCAAUGAGAUGGGUAUUGUUGUGGGAGACGAAGAAGGACAUGUUAAAAAUGACAAUGGUGAAAAUGGUGGUAAUGAGAAACUGCAUAAUGAGAACUGAAUCUAGGAGGCCCUUGUAUUAUAGGGAUUAGAUCAAAUUAGUCUCUCUAAAAAUGUACAAUAUAGCCAAAAAGAAUCAAAUAAGUCUUAAUUGUAAUAGAGUGAUCUAUACAGUCACCUUUUCUAAAACCAUUAGUUUGAAGUCAUUUAAUUAUUCUGAAGGAUUAUCUUCAAUCCCAACCUUUUUUAUUUUGAAAUGUCUUUUUUUUUGUUAUUAGAAAAUUCAUCUUUAAUCACAAUCAAAUUGGAAUAUUCAUUCUUUUUAAAACUUUGAGGUAAUUAAUAGUCCUUAAACUUCUUCAAGCAUUUGUAACACCCCUUAAAUUUUACAGUAUGGUAAACAACAUUAUUCUAAGAAUCACUACAAUGAAUUUUUGAGAAAAUUCAAUAAUGAGAAAGUAAAGAGAAUUUUUAGAAGGGACUAUAAUUAUUUAUUUUUGGAAAUCAAUGAAGUAAAUUUGGUAUGUGGAAUUGUGAAAAAAAUGACUAAAUUGUAAAAUUAGGAAAGUUUGAGAACUAAAGUAUAAAGUAACUAAUUUGAGAAAUUAUGGAUUGAUAAUGAUUUGUAAAUAUUAAGCCGACAUGAGACAUGUAUUAUCAAGGAAAAGCAAGUUUGGACUUAAUUGAAUAAAAUGAAAAGUAUAGUGCUCAAAUUACAUAUUUCCCAUUUUGACUAGAAUAUAGGUAAAAGUAUCAUUUUCACCAUUUAUGGACUUAAAGGGAUAUAUUUGAAAUUUGCUUUUUUUUUGGAUAAGUGCUCAUUGUUGUGAAGAAAUUGUACAAAUAAACAAAAAGAAUAAUAUGAUAAGUUUGCCAUAAUCGGAUACUUUAGUCAUUUAUCAAGUACUUUAUGUUGGAAGUAUUAUUUUAUUGAUAUUUUUAAUGCAUGGAAUUAAUUUGGAUUUUGAUGAUGAUAUGAGAAGAUAUAAAGCAUUAAGUGUCAUAUUUGGUAUUAAUUAAAGAGAAGUGAUAUAAUAGAAGGGACAAAAGGUACAAUUUUGCCAUUAAAAAUAUAUUUCUUGACUUAUCAUGAAUAUUUUAAUAAAAAUUAUGGACUUUAUUUUAAUUGUGUUAUUAUGAGAAAAUUUAUGGUCAUAUAUUUUAAAUUUUUUGUUCAUGAAACAAAGUGGACUACCAGAGGUGAAUCUAGGGGGGCUGGCAGAGGUCUUGACCUCCCUUAAAAUGGAAAAUUAUUGUUUUGGGCCUUUAGAAAAUUUUAAAAUUUUAAAUUAGUAAAUAUAAAAUUACACUUUUGUCCCCCUAAAAUUAUGAAAAUUUAAUUUAAUCCUUUAAAAAUUAUAAAGAUAUAGACUAUUAAAAACUAAAAUUUCAUUUCGGCUCCCCCUAAAAAUUUUUUUUGGCUUCACCCCUGUGGACUACCCAUUUAAAAAUUUGUUUGACUUUUGACUAAUCAAAUUGUGAUUUUUUUCCUCUCAUGUGCCGUCCCUCUCUCCUUAAGAAUUGAAAAUAUUUGUCGAAUAAUAAUAGAAAUAACAAAUCCUUCUUCGAGAUGUCCAGUGAUUUCUGUGUUCUUUUUUUUUAAUGAGAUAAAGGAAUUAAUCAAGAUGUGUGUGCAAGAAAUUGAAGAAUUUGGAAACAAGUGUAGAAGAAUUUUAGGAACAUUGUGGAGUAUUCAAUGAAAUUCUCAAGAGAAAAGAUAGACAUAUAUUGCCAAUCCAAUAAAAGUAAAAUGAGAUUCCGAAAAUGUUUAAUAAUGAAUCAUUUGUAAAGGAUGAAAGUGAAGUGAGAUUAUCUUGAAGUAGACAUUACGGAGGAAAUAGUACUCAUUAAAGCUAGAAAAAAAAAGUUAAGUGUUGAUCGUUGACACUAAGAAAGUGUAUCACAAAGGAAGUGCGAAGAAGAGAUACAAGUAUUCGAAGAUGGUAAUAAAGACUUACGAGGAUUGGAAAGUGAUAAUUAAUGGAAACCAUAUAAGAGAGGUGAAAUAUAACAUUCUAAAGCUUGACCUAGAAACCUAAUCGAAUUUGGAGUGUUAUUGUGGUCAUCAGAGCAACCUGCAUGAUCAAUCGUUCAUUCAAUCACAUUAAAAUAUAAAAAAAUUAGACAUACACACAACAAGUCAUUUAACAAAACUUAAUCAUAUAAUCAUUGAGUUCCUAAAUCAAAAUCAAAACACCCAAACUGACCAAUUAGCAAAUCCUAAGUACAUGUCAAACUAUACUAUUUCAAGGGUUUUUACAAAAUAAGAAUUGCGGAGACUCUGAGGCGAUGUCUGCUCUGACUCAAACUCACAAACUAUUUGAUCCAAAUAUUACCUAUGCACGGAAUUAAUAACCCGUACAUCGGGCUUUUCAGAGCUUGGUGGAGACCAAAACAGUCUAAACUACUAAUGCAUAUAAUUGAAAAUAAAAACAUUUUAAUCAAAUACAACUAUAUAUAUAUGCAAUAAUUCGAGGAGUGAAAGUCACACUCAAUAAAAAUUGUCAGAGACGCAAUACAAUCAUGAAUCAGUCACAAAAUAACAUUUAUGUAAUAGCCCAAUUUUGACCUUAAUCGGAUAUAGUGGUUUCGAAACCAUGAAUUCGAGUCAGAAAAAUAUUUUUUAUAUUAUUUUUAGUGUUUAUUAUAUUUUAAGUUAUAGGUGUGAAAAAUUCGUGUGGAAAUUUUAUUGUUUAAAGGUUCAAUUUGAUAAAAAAUGAUUUAAUCGCGUAAAAUAAAAAUUUAGAGGUUAAAUUUUAAAAGCACUUAUUUGUUGUUGUCUUUUUAAGUGGGAGGUCUAGAGAUGUAAUUAGACCAAAAUAUAGUUAGUGGAUGACAUAUGACAACAUUGUCCCUUACAUAUAUGUUUUAUAUAUUUAUUAUAAUAAGGUUAAUUAAGUAAUUUAAUAAUUAUAAUGUAUAAAUGUUAAAAUAAACUAAGAAAAGAUGAUUUUUAUCAUCUUUGAAAGCCGAAUGUGUAAGAGAACUCAUGCAUGGUUUCUUGUUGAAUGUUCGGCACUUUUAAAGACAAAUUAAGGUAUGGGUUGGUUUCAGUUUUUGAUAAUUUUUACGUUUUUGAGAUCGUUGUUUCGAAUACUAUCCGACCCAUGUUUGAAUUUUUAAUUUUGAUGAAUAUUUUGAGUUGUGCCAUUGAUGAACAUUUGUGUUAUGUGAUGUUUGAUGAUGAAUAAUGAAAGAUACAUUUUAGAUUAAUAUGUUUUGUAUUGGAAGUUUUGGUGAAAUUGAGUAAUUAGAGUUAAAUUGUGAAAUUAAAUUUUUGAGGGAUUAAAAUGUGAAAUAAAUGAAAUGUGAGGAUUGGUAUGAACAAUAGGUACAUUCGGCCCUUAAGGAGUGUAGUCAAAAUUUGUGUAUUUUGUGUUUUGAGCAAAAAGGAUUAAAUUGUAAAAAGUGUGAAAUGUUAGGGGCAAAAUUGUAAUUUGCCCAUAUAUAUGUUCUUAGACUAAUUGAAUGAAAAAAAAAUGUUUAAAUGAGAUUUUUUUGAAUAUGUUUAGAUCAAGAAACCAAGAAAUCGAAUUUAGAUCGGGGGAAAUCGAAAGUAGUUGAGUAGCCGAUCUAUUAGUCGACGACAUCCGAGGUAAGUUAUUAAGCAUAUAUAUAUAAUUGUGUAUUUUUAAAAUCAGCUUAGUAUUUAUGUAAUUAUGCUGAAUUGAAUGAUAUAUAAAUAUACAUGUAGUGAUAAAAUUAUUGAAAUAAGAUAUAUUGAGUUGUUGACUUUUGACACUAAGUGUGCGAAUUUAAUUGUAAAGCACUAAUUGUGCAAGUUUAAUUGAAAAGCACUAAGUGUGCGAGUUUAAUGGUAAAGCACUAAGUGUGCGAACUUAUUAAAUAUUUUCGAAUAACUAUUAGCAUUGAGUAUUUGUUUUUUUUUUUUUUGAGAAAUUAUGAUUAGUAAAAUGAGUAAAUACUUGGAAUUUUUGUGGUUGUAUUUAAGGUUAAGCUUUGUAGGUAUUAAACCUAUGUGGUGAUUAUAUUUGGAAUUAUAUAUAUAUAUAAUAUGAUUCUUUAUAUUACAUGGUGAGGAACUGCAUAAUGUAUUUGGUCUUGUGAUUAAAUUUGAAGAAAUGUUUAUGGUUAUGUAAUUAUAUUGAUUUAGUUAAAUCAUAGUAAUAAGUGAAUAAUUAUCUUAUGAUAUGGUAAGCUAAAGGUAAGAUGAUUUAGUAGUAUGAAUUGGUUGAAUAUUAUUUAAGAUAUCGGUUUAAAUAGUAGAGUUUAUUUGCUUAUAACUUACUAAGCUAAAUUAGCUUACAAUGUGUUGGAUAAUUGUUUUUUUUUUAUGUAUAGAUUUUGGUGAUUGCUACGUGUUCGGGGAUCGUCAGCUAAGUUCGUCACACUAUCGAUAUUUUCUUUUGGUACUUUACUAAAUCGUUUUCAAAUAUAUGGCAUGUAUAGCAUAGUUAAAAUAUUGAAUUUGGAACUAAUGUGUAUAUGUAUUUAAAAGCCAUGCGAAAGAGGCUUAUAUAUAUUUUUUUUUUUGGACUUGAAUUUGGUUUGGAUGCAUGUGUUUAAUGAUUAUGAGUGUGGUAUAUGCUUAUGGUAUUAUUAUAUGGAGGGAUUAUUUGUUCUUGGUAUAUAUAUAUAUUGGGCUACAAUGGAAUUAAUGAAUAGUUAAUUAAAGUUAGUUGCAAGAUGUGUACACGUAUGGUUGUGUAAAAAAAUGUGGAUUUCUAACUUAAAAAUGUGUGAGAGUAGAUAUUAAUAAGCAUGCUAUAUAUAUAUAUAUAUAUAUUCAUAUAUGUGCAUGGUAUGUUUGAUUUUGGUAUGUUAAGGGUUUGGCAUUGUAUAUAGGUAAUGACUUAAAAUAAGUCUAGUUCAUGACUAGCUGCUUAUUAAAUUAUGUUUAUAAUAAUUCGGUCUUAACUUAGCUCUGCUUUGAAAUUAUGUGAUAUGAUUUGAAUGGUUAUGUUUAAUUUGAUUUUAUAUGUGACUAUAAGAUUCGGCCAUGAUGUAAUAUUAUUAUGUAUGUAUGUAUAUAUAUAUAUAUAUUCAUUUGAUUAGUAAUAGAUAUACUUAUUAAUGCCGCAUAUGAAAUAGAGGAUAGGUUUUGUAACAUAUUUUGUUUAGUCCAUUAAGUACAUGUUUAUUAAUAAGCAUAAAGAUGAUAAAAAAAAUCAUUAUAUAUAUUUUUUAUACCAUUUUAAUGAUAAACACACGAUUCGUGUAUUUAUUUUGAAGCAUAAGUUGUAUGGAUUUAAGGCAUGAUUUUUUUUAAGGUGUAAAUAUGAUUAUAUUCAUGAGAUACUAUAUUUGUUUUGUGAUUAAUAAUGUAUGUAUAAUUUGUAAUUAGUCUCUUUUUUUUCAGUAAUACCUCAUAACCCUAAUCUGGCGACGGACACGGGUUAGGCGUGUUACAAUUUAAAAUAACAAUAAAACAAUAUAAGACAUUCAAUAAAUAUCGAUGGUGUUUUGAUUCAAUGUUCAAGUUCAUUAAAUAAUUUUUCUCAAAUAACACAAGAAGGAAAGAUAUUCGAACACACGAGUGUCCAACCAAACACCAAAUGAUCAAUGAAAUUAGUGCAAGUGCCAACAAUAACAAUAUUCCAUUGGGAGAUAAUGCAACUUAGUCUAUAAUCAACCAUCACACUAAAUGCACAAAACGCAACAAUGACAAUGCUCCUGAAUGCUUAAGACAGUUCCACAAUAAACAAUGAUGGAGAUUCCUCCACCUUACGAGAUGUGGCUUAUACCAAAACAUUUCAAUUAUUAAAAUAGUAAUUAACAAUGAUUUUCGGAACAUAACCAAUUAAUAAAAAUAACAUUUUAAAAAUAGUAACCAUAAUUAAAAUCAAUUUAAUAAACUGCCACACAAGUAAAAAUUCAUAUGCAAGGAAUCAAAAUAUCAGUCCACUAAGCCAAUAAUUUAAUUGCAACAUUAACAUAAUUUAAAACGUAACGAUUACAAACUAAUUUUUUAAAUGUUGGUUGCUUAGGAUCACAUGCACUAUAAACGUAAGGACCACCGUUGAAAGCCAUGCAAAAAUCUACAAUUUUAUAUUUAUAUGUGUAUAUAUACACAUAUACAUAUACACGUAAACACUAUAAAUCAUGCCAACCAUUAACAAAGCCAUGCAAAUAUUUAUAUUUAUAUAUUUCAUAUAUUUAUACAUUCACAUGCACAUAACUAAAUACGACAUCAUGCAAAUAUAGUUAUGUACAGAAUAUUGAUAUAUUAUCUCAUUAAUUUUAAAAAUAAACAACACCAAAAGACCAAGCUUUACACUACUCACACGACAUAACAUUGGUUUCACGAAUCCUCAAAGCACUACUCCCUCUGGGCUUUCUACGAUUUAACAGCAACCUGCUUUGUCUUUAUUUGGUUGUGGCUUCUAUGCAGAUUAGACGAGAGGCUUCAAUGGAUGAUAUAAAAGAGGUGGUGUUGGUCAGUGGUGGGCAGAGGUGGCCUGAUGUCGGUGCAAGGAGAUCAACGGUUAGGACCAGGGUGACUGUGGAGCGAUGAGAUGUUGGGGCGACGGAAGAACUCACGAUGGCGAUGAGAGGGCGGACAAUGGUGCAUUGAUGGAGAUGACUCCAAGGCAGCGUGAUGAAAGGGAGGGACGACUUGGGGCAGUUGGCUGACGGUGUGGCGACUAAGAGGAUCGGUGCUUAGUGAUGGAAUGAAGGAGACAAUGCCUGACGUUGGGGAGUGAAAGGUGGUAAUCAGUCUUUUAUUAGGGGUAGAAUUCUACAAAAGAAGGGUUUUGAUAGUAGGAAAGUUUGACCAAAUGUGUAUUCUUUCUUAGUUGUAACUCUGAAACCUAAUUGAUGAUGAUGAUGAUGAUGAUGAUAGAGCACACACGCCCAGGCCACCACUCUGUCAACUAAGUUGUUUAAGGGCUAAUUCCAAUAUUUGUCCCCAAUUAAUUGCUGAGGUUUCAAUUUAAUCCAUAAAUCAAGAUCAAAAUUCAAUUAGUCUUAAAAUUAAACUAAAAAAUCAAAUAAGUUCAUAAUACACAAAAAAUCACUAAAAAUAUAAAUUUUAUCCUAAUGUUCCAAAAUUCCGAAAAUAUAUUUAUCGAACUUAUCUCGAUUUUGUGUGAAAUCAUAGUUGGAAAUUUUGGAGUGUUUCACGAAAUUAUCCAUCAAAGUGCCUUAAGAAGUAGUAGUCGAGUAGUGCGUUGUUAAAAGUUCCUAGAAAGAUGUUAACAUUGGAUAUUAAAUGAGCAUCGUGGAUGGAAAAGAGGACAUCAAAAUACGAGUAUAGAGAUUUGUAGCUUGCUACCAGAGGCAAAGCUAGUUGCUGGUAGGGCUUGACCUCCCUUUAAAUGGAAUAAUUUCAUUUAUACUCUUAUAUAGUUUAUAAAAUUUUAAAUUAGUAAUAAAAAAAUUUAUACUUUGACCUCCUUUAAAAAUUAUAAAGAUAUUAUAAAAAUAUAUAAUUUAAUUUCACCCCUAAAACAAAUUUUUGGUUUCCCGGAUUAUAGAAAAGCUAUAAUCGUGUUAUGAAGUGAUAAUGGGUAAAUAAGUAUAAGAGAAAUGAGUUGAAAAGUAGGAAGAGAGAAGUAUGUAUUUGGUAUUGAGAUCAUAUGAGUUGGGAAGUUAAAUCGUGGGUUGACGUGAACGGAUAAGGCACGCAUUGGAUGUGUGGGAAGAGAUUUAAGUCAAGAAGAAAAGUGACAGUAAUUUGAAGUAAACAAUGAAGGUUAUGCACAUGCUCAAAAGGAAAAGUUAUGAUCAUUUGAUGGGGAUGAGUCAAGAUAAGAUAGCCAAUUAAAGGUGCAAAAUUAACCCAAGUUGAGAUGAAUAUGGUGAAUAUAAGCUUGUUAACCCAAGUUGAGUGACAUGUCAAGUUAUAACAAUCAAGUGAAAAUGAUUGAUGUGGUAUAUUAAAAUUAUAUGUUAGUGACAUAUAUGGUAUGGAAGACAUUAGAAGAUAAGAAACUUAUGAUUCGUGCUAAGGUUAAGAUUUAUAGAUAUUUGAUGAAUCAAAGGACAUCUUGUGCAAUGUGAAAGAUAAAGAGGGAAAUUUAUUUAGGGUUCAACAUUUAAGUGAAGCAAAUUAUAAGGUUGUGAAAACCGUUAAAAGGAUAAAAUGUAAAUUUUAGAAUAUAAAAAAAUUAAAUUGAAUUAAUGGAAAAAAAAAUGACAAAGAGGUAAUUUUUACUUAAUUUACUUUACUGAAAGUAAAUGGAUAAUUAUGGAAUUAGAGAAUAAAGAAAAUUGGGGAAAAAAGAAGGAGGAGGAGGAGAAGUGUUGUCAUGAUUAUGACCCUUGGAUAUUAUGGAAGAGGUGAAGAAAUAAUUGCAAUUGGAUAUUAAUUAUGAUGAUGGGAUUUUUAUUAAUGUUUUAAUUAUAUUAAUUGCUAUAUGGCCGUGUGUCAAGCCAUGUGGCUCAAAUGAACGUGUGGAAGAGGUCAGUCUAUGUGGCUCCUGUACUUGUUCUGAUUUUCGAUUCUUGAUAAGUGUCAAAAGUAACAUAUUUUAAUCUCAUUCUUAAUUCAUUUUUAGAUGAUUAAUCAAUGCAAAACGGUAAAAUUUAUGCUCAUAAUCCUUUAAAUUCAUAUUUCUAUACUUAUAAGAGCAUUUGAGAGAAAAAUUAGUGAAAACGAAGCGAAAAUCAAAAAAUUGGAGCAGAUUUCAAGAGCCACACGAGUUGGACACAUGGUCAUGUGAGCCACACGGGCUGCCACACGGCCAUGUGCCAGAUAGAGACACAUGGUCAUGUGAGCCACACGCCAUGUGCCAGAUAGAGGUGCUCAUGGGCCGGGCCCGGCCGGGUUCGGGCCGGGCCCAUAAAAAAUUUCGGCCCGGGUCCUAGGCCCGGCCCGACCCGGCCCGAAAUAUGGGCCUAAGAUUUUGCCCAGGCCCGGCCCGGGAAAAAAAUCAUAAGCCCGGGCCCGGCCCGUCCCAUUUUUAUUUUAAAAAUUUUAAAAAAAUUAAAAAAAGUAUUUUAAAAAUAUUUUAAAAUUAAAAAAAAAUUAAAAAAGUAUUUUGAAAAUAUUUUAAAAUUAAAAAAUUUUUAAAAAGUAUUUUAAAAAUAUUUUAAAAUUAAAAAAGUAUGUAAAAAAUAUUUUAAAAUAAAAAAAAAUAUUUAUUAUAUCGGGCAGGGCCGGGCCCGGGCCGAAAAAGUGGUGCCCGAGGCCCGGCCCAUUUUCUAAACGGGCCUCGUUUUUUUGCCCAAGCCCAUAUUUCGGGCCUAUAUUUUUACCCAAAUCCUCUCAUAUUUCGGGCGGGCCGUCGGGCCGAGCCGGGCCACCCGGCCCAUGAGCACCUCUAGUGCCAGACCGUGUGGAUUUCGCAUUUCACACUCCAAAUAUGUGGAAUCACGCAAUUUUUAAGUUUUUCGGGCAUUCUUAGACCUAUAUAUACCAAAUAUAUGGAGAGAAGUAAGAGCCGUCAGAGAAUAUUGAAGAAAACAACUCAAAAGACAUCAUUGAAGUCGACUUUGAAACAAAUUUCUACUAAGAUUGAAGAUCUCCUUUUGAUUUCUUUGAAGUUUAUUAUGAGUUUUUUUAUUUCUUGUGGUUAUACUGUCUUUGAGAUGUUUUUACUCUCGAUUAUGAACUAAUUUUCUAAAGAUGAACCUUAUGACAAAUUUUGUCUUUUGACUUCUAUUUUAUGCAAUGAAUAAUUAAAUCUUGUUCUCAGUUAUGUGUGCUAAAUUUUUUAUUUAAUAUUUUCAAAUUAUUAAUUCAUGUUUGAUAUGCUUAAUUCAGAGUAGAUCUAGCAUAAUUCAAUGGAGUUGCAUGUAAUCCUAGAAAUAGGACAACAUAAAUCUACCCUGUUAGAGUCAAAUCUAAUAGAAGAAUUCAUAAAUCGAGUCGGUACGAUAAUAGGGAUUUCAAUUAAUCCGUAAAUAUCCCAAAAUAAUAUUCGACUUAUACGAUACAUUUCUAAAGUUGCGAAAGAGUACCUUGGGUGCAAUAUGGCCCAUGGUACCUCUAACUGUUGUCAUUGAAAUAGCAUUUUGUUCCUUGGAACACAAUUUAGCAAGGCCUGAAUGGAGGAUACGUUACUAGCCUUGAUGCAGGUACUCGAUGCCUUUGGUUACACCGACAAUAAUAUCCUGAAGUUUUUCCCAACUAAGGGAUCGAUCCGUACCCUUAGCUUGCAAAUAUGAACUUCUUUAAUGACUCGUUUGGUAGGUAUUCAUAAAUGAGAACUCAGUCAUAUCCAUCGACACAAAACUCAACCAGGCAUGUCACAUUCACAUGGUGGAUUCUGCCCAUCGAACCCACCUCAUUGAUGAACUCUCAAUAUUUAACUAAAGUUUGCUUUUUUACUUUUUUUUUUAUUUUCAUUUUUAAGAAAAUGUUAUUUUAUUAAUUCAAUUAUCAAAAUUAUUAUUAUUUUAUUUAAAUUAGAUUAAUCCUCAUUUAAUUAUUACAAGUAUAUUAUUUUAAAAUUAUAAAAAUUAUUAUUUAAUAAUUAAACAAAUAAACAUUUAAAAUCACAUACAUUACAUUAAAAACUAGUAUAUCUAAAUAUAUAUUUUACCACUUAUUUUAAUCUUGUUAUUUUUAAUUUCAUCAAAAUUAUUAUAUAUCACUCGAGCCACUGCGACUGCUGACCGGUGAUUAUUGCCUGCAUAAUUUGAUGAAAGGUUCUGAAUUAAUACAUCCAAGACUUUUAUGAGCAUCGCCAUUGACUGACCGACGACUUGUAUGAAAGAAUUUUCCACGUACGUUAGCUUUAUUACUGGACUGAUUUUUCAAAGAAAGACUUGCUCUCAAUUGGAGCCAUAAAACAAAUGAAUGAUUGGCAUUUUACAUUAAAGAGCAUCCCAUUGUUUAUUUCUUCAUCGGAGCUCCACCGGAACUUGAUGAUGUUAAGACCCAGACUUUUCUUGUUUAGCAUCUUUGCCCUUACUUUAUCUCUAUCCCCAGAUGUUUCCGAUGGUAGAGCAGGCAAAAGCAACCACUGUGGCCCAUCUUUGUGUGGACACGUUAAUAUCAGACACCCUUUCCGACUAAAAGGUCAGCCUCGUCGAUGUGGUGACCGUAGGUAUGAAUUAGAAUGCAAGAGAAACCGCACCAGUUUUCCCAUGAAAUACGGAAACUUUUAUGUCCUAAACAUCUCUUAUGUUGACCGAACGCUUCGACUUGUGGAUGUGAGUCUGGUCGAUGAAAACUGCUCAAUUCCUCGCAGUUCCAUUGUCUAUUAUCCAUACAGCUAUCAAGAAGACAUAAAUUAUGGAAGACACACCAUGUAUCUGGUAAAUUGCACGACAAGGAUGAAGUCUUCUUCAGUUUAUGUCGAUGCUUCUCGUUGCCCAACCAAUAGCUCUUCUUCUCCUUGGACCUACUUCUACUUUCCAGUCUCGUUUUCAAAUAUAUCCGAUUUCCAUCAUUCGUGUAGAUUUAUAGCCCAGUUUCCUGUCAUGCUUUCCAAUAUUAGUGGCUUAUCCCCUUCUUACAUUUACAAAAACCUGUUGGAAGGCGUCGAGGUGUCCUGGUAUAGACCCUUUAGUUUUUGGCCUUCAAACCCGGUUCUCAAAGUGUAAGAGACUUCGAUCUUUAGAUUCUUUCAAUCUAUAACUUUUCAAGGCCUUAUUUAUUGAUUGGUUGCUUUUUUUUUCCUUGGGGGGGGGGGGGGUUAUUCUAGCUUGCUACAGUUGGUGAUCUAUUCACUACGUCCAAUUUUAGCAUACAUAGUAAGCAAUGUGGCCUUUCUUCUACCGGGAAUCAUCGGCCAUUAUCCUUUUGGGAAAGGUUAAUCUUUCAGAUUUCAUAAGUAUCUUUAUUUAUUGGAUUUGCCCUUGAAUUGUAUUCGAGUUAGUAAUAUUAUUGUUCAAUUUGCGUUUUAAACAGGAGCCACCUUCGUUUGUCUUGCAGUAUCAGGUAAAUCUCUUUCCCUUCCCACUUUUUAUGUUAUCUUUAUAAAAUAAUCAUGAAUGCUGAUUUAUCCAUGUGUAUGCACCUUGAUGGGCAAGCAGGCAUAUUGUUAGCGAGAACUUUGUUGGGGAUAUUCUGCCUCAUUACACUUGUCAUAUGCAAACUAAAGAGGAGGCAUUUGUCGAUGGAUGAUGAUAUCGAAAACUUUCUUCAAAGUCAAAAUAAUUUAAUACCUAUUCGAUAUUCGUAUUCUGAAAUAAAAAGAAUUACGGAAGGUUUUAAAGUUAAAUUAGGUCAAGGUGGUUAUGGUUCUGUGUUUAAAGGAAAGCUUCGCAGUGGUCGGCUAGUGGCAAUAAAAAUGUUAGAUAAAUCCAAAGCAAAUGGAGAAGAUUUCAUCAAUGAAGUUGCUACUAUUGGAAGAAUUCAUCAUAUUAAUGUAGUGCAACUUAUUGGGUUUUGUGUAGAGAGAUCAAAACAAGCUCUUGUAUAUGAUUUUAUGGUGAAUGGGUCUCUGGAUAAAAUUAUAUUUUCAAAGGAGAAUUGCACUUUAAGUUGGCAAAAAUUAUUUGAUGUUGCACUUGGUGUGGCUCGAGGAAUUGAAUACUUGCACCGGGGUUGUCAAAUGCAAAUUUUGCAUUUUGAUAUCAAGCCGCACAACAUUCUUUUGGAUGAAAACUUUAUCCCUAAAGUUUCUGAUUUUGGUCUUGCAAAAUUAUAUUCAGUGGAUGACAGUAUUAUUUCUCUCACAGCGGCUCGUGGUACAUUAGGAUACAUUGCUCCUGAAUUAUUUUACAGAAAUAUUGGAGGCAUCUCAUAUAAAGCCGAUAUUUAUAGUUUUGGAAUGUUAUUAAUGGAAAUGGUGGGAAGAAGAAAGAAUUUGAAUGCAUUUGAUGAUCAUUCUAGUCAAAUUUAUUUUCCGUCAUGGAUUUAUGAUCGAUUUGAACAAAGAGAGAACAUAGAAUUAGGGGAUGUAACAGAAGUUGAUGACAAAAUAGCAAGGAAGAUGAUAAUGGUUGCAUUUUGGUGCAUACAAAUGAAUCCCACUAAUCGUCCUUCAAUGAGCAAAGUUUUGGAAAUGCUCGAAAAUGAACAUGAUCAACUUGAAUUGCCGUCCAGACCUUCACUAUUUUCUCUCGAAAAGUCGACUGAAGAUCAUGUUUGUAAGAAUGUAUCGGAGGAACCAUCAACGUCAAAAAGUUGUGUGGACAUCUAAGUAUAAUGUUUGAUUUUAUUCGGACCUUUUAUACAUAUAGUUCUGCAAGUACUGUAAGCUUUUAAUUUGUAGCAUUUCAUGCUCAGUUGUAUAAUAUCCAGCAUCAUGUAAUACGACUAUUAAUGGAUGUGUGUUUUAGACUUUAGCUCCUUAGCUUCAUGUUUCAAUUAUUAAAAAUGUCUCCUUUUCACCAUAUAAUGAGUUAAUAUCAAAUUCGUUAACAAUUAUUUAGUAUGUAAGUGACUCUUAACAUUGCGUGAUCUCAUGAGAAAGUUUUUACUCUCUUAUCGUAAUAUGUAAUCAUGCUGAUAAAAGUAACUUGUAAUAAUUAUGAGUGUGGUGUGGCGGUUGCUCACUUUAUUUUUUAAUCAUGUAGUCAGGGUUUGAGUUCCGCUCAUAGAAAUGGAAUACCUUCCAACGAUGAAUAUCUUAAUUUUGACAAUUAAACAACAUUUAAGAUAGAAUCUUUUCAUUUAUUAGUAGAAUUUAUAUACUAACAGCCAUGCAGCAUUUCAUUUAUGAGUUCAAAUAAAAUCUUAGCAUUGGUGUAAUAUGAGUGUGCUAAUAGGUGAUUUCAAGUUUCAACUGAUUCUAGUACUACUAACAAUGAGGCUCGAGACUGUUCUUAUUCCAUUUCUGAAAUAGUGGGUAGAUCUCUGUUAACCGGCUUCCUAGGUAUGGUGGCACCCAUCGUCUUCGGUGGAUCUGUUGACACAAAAGGAUUUGGGGGCAUUGUAAGAACGUCAAGCUCUCCCUCUAACAUCUGAACCACCACUUUCAUCGAAGGACGAUCAACGGGAUACCACUGAAUGCACCAAAGUCCAACGAUCAUGAGUUUCUUUUCUAUCCCUGUUUGUGCAUCAUCUUCAAUUCGAAUCCCGAACUCCUCUCCUUUAUCCAAACGAUCAUAUGCCCAUUCUGGGAAAUACACUUGGCUUGUAUUCUCGACCAUAACAUCUAUGUUCUUUCUCCCCCCAACCAUUUCAAGCAACAGCAUUCCAAAACUAUAAACAUCAGACUUAUAUGACACAUUUCUGAAGUUGCGAGACAGUACCUCUGGUGCAAUAUAGCCCAUGGUACCUCUUGUUGGCACAUAAUUAAAUUAACCUUGCACAAAUAAAUUAUGAAAAGUUAGAAGAGUGAAGAGACUUGAAUAUGAAUAGUGAAGAGACUUGAAGAUGAAAAGUUAAGAGUCUUGAAUAUGAAAGGAUACACACAUGCAUGAAUAGUCACAACUCCUAGCAUAUAGUGAUUUAGAUGAAUAGUCACUUACAACUCCUAUAUAAAGAGUUGUAUGUAAUGAAGAAUAAUUAACUUGUGUGCUUGAAAUAAAAGCUUAUUUGAAAGAAUUUUUCCAUACAAAAUUUAUUUCUCUUCUCCAUUAUAUUCUUUAUCAUUUUCUUUGUUUUAUUUCUCCAAAUAUUAAUUAUUCAACUACAAAUUGGUAUCAGAGCCUUGUUCGAUCGAAAUGAACAAUUCUAUUCCUCUUUCUUCCGUUCCCCAAUUAACCAAAGAAAAUUAUGGCAAAUGGAGUAUCCAAAUGAAGGCUCUUCUUGGAUCUCUAGAAGUUUGGGAGAUUGUUGAAAAAGGUUAUAAUGAAGUUGAGGCUGAAGAGGAGGAAGGAUUAUCACAAGUUCAAAAAGAGGGUUUAAGAAAAUCAAGGAAAAAAAAUAAACAAGCCUUAUUUUGGAUAUAUCAAGGAGUUCAAUCAAAUGAAGCAGCAUGGGAAAAAAUAGCUUGUGCCACCACGGCAAAACAAGCAUGGGAGGUUUUACAAAAUUCUUUCAAAGGAGAUGAAAAGGUGAAAAGAGUUCGGUUGCAAACUCUUCGAGGGGAGUUUGAAAGAUUGCAAAAAAUAGAGUCGGAAUCAGUUUUUGAUUACUGUUCACGAGUUUUGUCCAUAGUCAACCAAUUGAAAAGAAAUGGUGAAACUAUGGAUGAUAGUCGUGGUGUUGAAAAAAUCCUCCGUUCUUUGGAUUCUAGAUUUGAUUACAUUGUGGUAGCCAUUGAAGAAUCAAAGGACUUGAGUACCAUGACUAUUGAUGAACUCACAGGUUCGUUGCAAGCCCAUGAAGAAAGAUUAAACAAGAAGAAGAAGGAAGUAGAUCUAGAUCAAGCACUCCAGUCAAAGUUGUCUCUAAAUGAGAAGAAAGGAGAAUUUAAAAAUCAAAGAGGGAGAGAUCGUGGAAGAGGAAGAAAUUUUAGAGGAAGAGGCUCAAAUGCUCGUCAAAGAUAUGAAAAUACAAGCACGGAGAAUGGAUGGAAAGAAGCCAGCCAAAGUCAGAAUUUUAGAGGAUCACAAAGAGUACGUGGACGUGGAAAUCAAAGAGGAAGAGGUCGUGGCUAUUUUGAAUGUUAUCAUUGUCGCAAACCUGGUCAUUUGGCAAGUGAAUGCUGGUACAAGAAAGAAGAGAAAAAUGAAGCUAAUAUAGUACAAAAUAAUCAAGAGCAAAAGCAAGAAACUUUGUUGCUCGUGUCUCAUGGUGGAGAGAUUGAUGAUGUCUGGUACAUAGACAGUGGUGCUAGCAAGGCUAUGACAGGUAACAAAAAUUUAUUUUCGAAGUUCUUUGAAUCUGAUUGUGGAGAAGUAAAAGUAGGAGAUGGCAAUGCUUACAAAGUUAGCGGUGUUGGUGAGUUGGAGUUCAAAACAAAGCAAGGAAGGGUAGAGAAAAUGUCUGAAGUUUAUUUUGUUCCCGGACUUAAAAAUAAUCUGCUUAGUGUUGGGCAUCUUUUAAAGAAGGGGUAUGAUAUUCAUUUUCGUGACAUGGCUUGCUAUUUAUCAAGGAAAAAUCAGGUUGUUGCUAGAGUUGGAGUGGCAUCAAAUAAUCUUUUCUCUCUCACCCUUCAAAAUCAGAAUAUGUCUUGUUUUAUUGGUGCUCAUAAAGGAGUUUCAAAGUUAUGGCAUGAUAGAUAUGGACAUUUGAACUAUGGAAAUUUGGAGAUGCUUUCAAAGAAGAUGAUGGUCAGAGGUUUACCAAAAAUCAAUCGACUUGAUGAUAUUUGUGAAGCAUGUCAACUUGGAAAGCAACACAAAAUUACUUUUCCUUCUCAAUCAUCGUGGAAAGCAAGAAGACCAUUGCAACUUAUUCACUCAGAUCUUUGUGGUCCAAUGACAAUUUCAUCUUUGGGAGGUAAUCGUUAUUUUAUCUCUUUCAUUGAUGAUUACUCAAGAAAGUUAUGGGUGUAUUGUGUAAAAGAAAAAUCAGAGGCUUUUCAGAGAUUCAAAGAUUUCAAGGCAGAAGUGGAGAACUUUACUGGGCUAAAAAUUAACACCUUACGGACAGAUCGUGGAGGUGAAUAUUUUUCAAAAGAAUUUGAGAAAUAUUGCCGAGAUAGUGGCAUCCGGCAUGAAAUGACAGUCCGCCAUACACCUCGGCAAAAUGGUGUGUGUGAAAGAAAGAAUAGAACAAUUAUGGAAAUGACUAGAUGUCUUCUUAGGAAGAAGAGGUUAUCAAGAAGAUUUUGGGCUGAAGCUGUUUCUUGUGCAGUUUAUCUUAUAAAUAGAUCACCGACAAGAAGCUUGGAGAAUUGCACACCACAUGAGGCGUGGUAUGGUAUAAAGCCUAGUGUUAGUCAUCUUAGAGUAUUUGGGAGUGUUGCAUACUCUCAUAUUCCAGAUGCAAUGAGAAGCAAGUUGGAUGACAAGUCAGAGAAAUGCAUUUUUAUUGGUUAUAGUGAAAGAAGUAAGGCAUACAAGUUGUACAAUCCGGUGACAAAGAAGAUUGUGAUAAGCCGAGAUGUUCGGUUUGAUGAAAAUUCCAUGUUUGAAGAUAUAGAAGUUGAAAAGGAAAAUUUGCCAAUUUUUCCUUUUGAACUUGAAGAAGAAGAAGAUGCAGUAAUUGAGAAUGCUGAAGAUGAUGCUCAAGUAGGAAAUCCUCCUGCUUCCUCAAGUUCUUCAUCAAAUUCUUCUUCAUCCAGCCCGAUCCGAAAAACGAGAAGCAUCCAAGAGUUAUAUGAUGUAACGGAUGAAGUUGUGCAAAAUGAUGUUGUAUUCUUUGCCUUCUUUGCAGGAGAAGAUCCAAUUUCUUUUGAUGAUGCAUAUCAAGAAGAAAUAUGGAGGAAAGCCAUGAAAGAAGAGAUUUGCUUAAUUGAAAACAAUGAUACAUGGGAACUCACAGAUUUACCGCCGCACAAGAAUUUAAUUGGAGUCAAAUGGGUGUACAAGACAAAGAUGAAUCCGAAUGGCUCUAUCAACAAGUACAAGGCAAGACUGGUUGCAAAAGGAUACAAACAAAAGGAAGGAGAAGAUUUUACAGAGGUAUUUGCUCCAGUUUCAAGACUUGAGACAGUUCGGUUACUUAUUUCUCUUGCUGCCCAAAACAAUUGGAAAAUGUUCCAAAUGGAUGUAAAAUCUGCGUUUUUGAAUGGUGUUCUCAAAGAAUAAGUCUAUGUUGAUCAACCACCAGGGUUUGUCAAAAAAUGAGAAGAAGAAAAAGUUUACAAGUUGAAGAAAGCUUUGUACGGGUUGAAGCAAUCACCCCGAGCUUGGUACAGCCGAAUCGAUUCUUAUUUUCAGAAGUGUGGAUUCCAGAAAUCUCCAUAUGAGCAUACUCUCUACAUCAAAGGCAAUUAUCAAGGAAGAUUCAUGGUUGUUAGUCUCUACGUUGAUGAUCUUAUUUUCACAGGAAAUGAUGUGAAGAUGUUGAAAGAAUUUCAGCACUCAAUGAUGGCAGAAUUUAAGAUGAUAGAUUUGGGAGAACUUCAUCAUUUUCUUGGUAUUGAAGUUCAUCAAUCUAAGAAAGGAAUUUUUAUUUCACAAGAGAGCUACGCAAAGGAAGUUCUAAAAAAGUUCAUGAUGGAAAAUGCGAAUCCAAUCUCUACUCCAUGCAUUACAAGUCUGAAGUUAUCUAAAGAGGGUGAAGGAAAGCUUGUCAAUUCCACCAUAUUCAGAAGUUUGGUUGGGAAGUUGAUGUAUCUGACUUCGACAAGGCCUGACAUCGUGUAUGCUGUUAGUUUGGUGAGUAGAUUCAUGGAGAAACCUUACUCCAAUCACUGGGAGGCUGCUAAGAGAAUAUUGAGAUAUGUGAAGGGAACCAUUGAUUAUGGAAUUUUCUAUAAAGCUAAUACUUAGUUGAUCUCAUUGGUUAUACGGAUAGUGAUUUAGCAGGAAGCAUUGAUGAUAGCAGAAGCACUUCUGGUUAUGUUUUUCACCUUGGGAGUGGUGCAGUUUCAUGGAGUUCAAAGAAACAAUCAAUUGUGGCGCUUUCGACUACAGAAGCUGAAUAUAUCGCUGCAUCUUAUGCAGGAUGUCAAUUGAUUUGGUUACGUGGAAUUUUGGAAAGUCUUAAGCAGAAGCAAAGCAAGUCAACAAUUUUGUUUUGUGACAAUAGUUCUACUAUUUCGGUCACAAAAGAUCCAGUUCUUCAUAGAAGGACAAAACACAUUCGCAUUCGAUAUCACUUCUUGAGGGAACUAGUGAAUAAUGGUGAUGUUCAAGUUGAAUAUUGCAAGACAGAAGAUCAGAUGGCUGAUAUCUUCACAAAGCCUCUAAGUGGACAAGUCUUCAAGAAAAAUGUUGAAAGGUUGGGAGUUCAAAGCAAGUUUAAUUUAAGGGAGGCAUUGUUGGCACAUAAUUAAAUUAACCUUGCACAAAUAAAUUAUGAAAAGUUAGAAGAGUGAAGAGACUUGAAUAUGAAUAGUGAAGAGACUUGAAGAUGAAAAGUUAAGAGGCUUGAAUAUGAAAGGAUACACACAUACAUGAAUAGUCACAACUCCUAGCAUAUAGUGAUAUAGAUGAAUAGUCACUUACAACUCCUAUAUAAAGAGUUGUAUGUGAUGAAGAAUAAUUAACUUGUGUGCUUGAAAUAAAAACUUAUUUGAAAGAAUUUUUCCAUACAAAAUUUAUUUCUCUUCUCCAUUAUAUUCUUUAUCAUUUUCUUUGUUUUAUUUCUCCAAAUAUUAAUUAUUCAACUACACCUCUAGCUGUUGUCAUUGAAAUAGCACUUUGUUCCUUGGAACACAAUUUAGCAAGGCCGAAAUCAGAGAUCUUAGGAUUGAAGUUGUGAUCAAGCAAAAUAUUGUGAGGUUUGAUGUCGAAAUGGAGGAUACGUUGCUCGCAACCUUGAUGCAGGUACUCGAUGCCUUUGGCUACACCGACAGCAAUAUCCUGAAGUUUUUCCCAACUAAGGGAUCAAUCCUUGCCCUUGGCUGCAAAUAUGAACUUCUCUAAUGACUCGUUUGGUAGGUAUUCAUAAACGAGAGCUCGGUCAUAUCCAUCGGCACAAAAGCCAACCAGGCGAGUCACAUUCACAUGGUGGAUUCUGCCCAUCGAACCCACCUCGUUGAAGAACUCUUCACCAUUUCCCUUGAAAUUAUUGAGUACCUUGACAGCAACUAAAACAUCACUGGAAAGUCUGCCUUUGAAGACAGUUCCAUAGCCUCCUUGUCCCAGUUUGUCCUUGAAAUGAUUAGUUAUCCUUUUAAUAUCAGCAUAGGAGUAUCUUGAGGGUUUAAACCCUUUAUAAUCUUCCAAAAACUUUUCAAUCUUGACUUGAAUUUCUUUCUCCUUUUUGUCUAACUGAUAUCUCCACCCAACUGCAAUGGCAAUGGUUGCAGCAAUUGAAGAACCCAACACAAUACCUGCAAAUCAGCAUACAUCCCUCUGUUAUAUCCCGUCUUAAAUUUUUGAAGCUAAAAGGGAAAUUCCAUUUACCUGCAAUCAUUAGCCUUUCUCCCAAACCUGCCAAGCAUUUAAAAUUAUUCAGCUUUGAUACAUGGGAAAUCUAAGAAAAGGGCUCACUGUAAGUUUACAACAUUAAGCUUCACGUUGAUGCAGGCUAAUGAAUUUUUUAACGUACGUUGUACAAUUAUAAUAGUUAAAACAUACCUAUAUGGUGCUUGGGGAUAUCAAAACACUCGGUUUGUUCCUUGGUGCUAUUAUUGUUGUUCAAUCUACAUCCCCUUCCUUGAGCUUCGCAAUCACCACAGUCUGGUUUAUACCAACGUAACUGAAAACGGAUACCAUAAGGAGAAAUGGGUGUUGAGAAGUUGCGAAAGUAGCUGCAAUUCAACAGGUUGAGUCCAUAAUAAUUUUCAUCAGAAGCAAAAGCUAUAAUUUGGGAGCCAGGGGUGCUUAAGCAAGCGACUCUAUAUCUUUUAUACAAAGCCUUCUCUUGGCUUAAACAUUCGAACAAGGUAUAGUUGGAUUCAGCUGGUUGGGAUCUAUAAUCUUUUAGGCCGCUGAAACCUGGUUGUUCCUCCGCGAAUGGAAAGGCAGAUAAAUUGAGAUCUAAAAGCUGCUGCCAGAGGCAACGGCCGGGAACGUAUAAGUCAAUCCGUUGAGCUUCAUAAUCUAUGUGCUUCACCAAUAGCUUCAGCGAACGUGGUAUCUUCAGCAGGGUCUGUUUGUUUUCUGAGCAGGAAAGCUGAAACCCAGGAUGAGGAUAGCCGCAGUGGGGAGACUGCUGGCCUUCUAAACGGAAGGGGAAACGGACAGGUGGAUCCUGGUGGUUGCACCGCCGCACCUUGCAGUCGUCUUGGAUUGGCACUGCUUCUGCAACAUUCACAGCUAAGAUAAAGCAGAAUAACGAGUAAAUUAACAUUGUUCUUACUAACUUGUGAGCCCCUAAAGUGAAACGGGCUUUAAAUAGUUUCAUUGACAUAGGUGGUUCAGCCCUUGAGAGUUCCAAUUAUGCACGCAACGCAGCUGCUGCUUUACUACAUAGCUUUGUCUCGUUUAACAGGGUCUUCAACUCUUCGUCCUCUCUUUGUCCUCUUUUAUGAGUAAAUGUUGGACAUGUUUGAUUGUUAGCAACCCUUUCUAACCUUGUUACUAAUUUUCUUUUAUUCCCGUUAGUUGUAGUAAAAUUUGAGGAAAAAACACUGAACAUGAGAAUGAAUACCGAUUUGCUGUUGUGAUCAUAGUGGGGUCAGCUUGACUGACUUUUGUUUUUCCACCUUCGUUUCACUACAUUUUGUUUGGUAUGACUAAGAAGUUGACUGACUUUUAUGGGUUCUUUUUAAUGUCUAUCGUUUCUUUUCUAAUGUAGGUGGAUUUUUUCUCACUUUCUUUUUUUCUAAUUUAUCUUUUAUUUUUAAAAAUGGCAAAACUCGAAUCAUAUGUUUUUAAAUUACUUAUACAAAUUUUUUUAAAAGUGGAUACAAGACAAUGAGAUGAUUUUUUCCACAUGAGUAUGAAACAAUUAUAGUCAUUGUUUGCUCUACUCACCCUAUCUCGAAAUAAUCUUUUACCUUUUUUUUUGUAUAUAAUUAUUAAAAUGAUAAAAAUGUAAUAAUAUGUUAUAGAAAAAAUUCAUAUGUUUUAUACUUAUAUUUUUUAAAAAUUAUGUUUAAAUAUUUACUUUUCUUAAAAAAAAGUAAAAUUAUUAAAAUAACUAAAAAUAAAAAUUAAAUUAAAGUAGAGCGAAGCAAGGUGAGAUGGGAUGGGGAUGGAUGCUUCUAAUAUCUAUGCGGUGAUAGUAAUUUUUCAGAUUAUACAUCCAACACAAGUAAAAAUUCAUAUGCAAGGAAUCAAAAUAUCAGUCCACUAAGCCAAUAAUUUAAUUACAACAUUAAGAUAAUUGAAAACGUAACGAUUACAAACUAAUUUUUUAAAUGUUGGUUGCUUAAAACGUAAGGAUCACAUGCACUAUAAACGUAAGGACCACCGUUGAAAGCCAUGCAAAAAUCUACAAUUUUAUAUUUAUAUGUGUAUAUAUACACAUAUACAUAUACACGUAAACACUAUAAAUCAUGCCAACCAUUAACAAAGCCAUGCAAAUAUUUAUAUUUAUAUAUUUCAUAUAUUUAUACAUUCACAUGCACAUAACUAAAUACGACAUCAUGCAAAUAUAGUUAUGUACAGAAUAUUGAUAUAUUAUCUCAUCAAUUUUAAAAAUAAACAACACCAAAAGACCAAGCUUUACACUACUCACACGACAUAACAUUGGUUUCACGAAUCCUCAAAGCACUACUCCCUCUGGGCUUUCUAUUAACAGCAACCUCCUUUGUCUUUAUUUGGUUGUGGCUUCUAUGCAGAUUAGACGAGAGGCUUCAAUGGAUGAUAUAAAAGAGGUGGUGUUGGUCAGUGUUGGGCAGAGGUGGCCUGAUGUCGGUGCAAGGAGAUCAACGGUUAGGGACGAGGGUGACUGUGGAGCGAUGAGAUGUUGGGGCGACGGAAGAACUCACGAUGGCGGUGAUAGGGCGGACAAUGGUGCAUUGAUGGAGAUGACUCCAAGGCAGCGUGAUGAAAGGGAGGGACGACUUGGGGCAGUUGGCUGACGGUGUGGCGACUAAGAGGAUCGGUGCUUAGUGAUGGAAUGAAGGAGAUAAUGCCUGACGUUGGGGAGUGAAAGGUGGUAAUCAGUCUUUUAUUAGGUUUGAUAGUAGGAAAGUUUGACCAAAUGUAUUCAUUCUUUAUUAGUCAUAACUCUGAAACCUAAUUGAUGAUGAUGAUAGAGCACACACACCUAAGCCACCACUCUCUCGACUAAUUCCAGUUUUUCCUUGCUUUUCAAAAGUAUUUUUAGAAAAUACUUUUAAAGUACUUUUAAAAAAUUUGAGUAUUUGGUAUUACUAACAUAAAGUGUUUUUGAAAAAUAAAAUAUUUAUUUUAGACAUGAUAUUAUAAAGUAAUAAAUAUGUAUUUAAAUAAUAUUCAAAUUAGUUAAUAUUAUGAUAUUUUAGCAAAAAAAUAAAAAAUAAUUUAUUAUAACUUAUUGUUAAUAUUUUAAUAUAUAAUAUUAAUUUUAAAUAUUUCUAAGUAAUUAAUAUUAAUUAUUUAUUAACUUUAAUUAGAAUAUAUAAACUAUAUUUAAAUAUUUAAAUAUAAUAAUUAAAUAAUUGUAAUUAGAUAUUGACACAACUGUAUUAUUAUAAAAAUUAUUUUUUAUUUUUAAUUAAUACUUUUUAACACAUUUGUAUUAUUUUAUUUUAAAAUGUAUUUGAAUAUAUAACUCAUAUUAGAUAUUAACAUAACAUAGAAAACAUAAACUUAAAAAAUUAAAAUAUUACAUAUAUUUGGAUUAAAGUUUUAAAAAGGGAUAAUAUUUAUAUACCAAAUAUAAAUACUAAAAAUCUUACAAUAGCAUUUACAAUUUAAAGUGAAUUCAUUAAACUAGAAGUUAUAGCAUCUCUUGUUAAUUCCAUUUCAAAACCACUUGAAUUGUUUGAUUCACUGUCAUCAUCACUAUCUUCGUCGUCGUCGUCAUCAUAUCACUUUAUCGACCAUGCGCAUUUUCUGAAUCAAUAAUAUUCUCAUAUGCCCAGUUAAUAUCUUCGUAUUCCAUAAAAUCUACAUCAUUUCGACCGAAAUGUUUUCAGAUAAAAUUGUGUAUCGUCAUUGUAGCAACAACGAUCAUGGUUUGCUUUCAAAAAUAUAACUUGGCAUAUCCCUUAAAAUGGCUCUUUUUUUCAAAACACCAAAAGUUCGUUCAAUUACACUACGUAAUGAUGAAUGUGAAUGAUUGAAUAUCUCUUCUAUACCAGAUAUCGGUCUACUUCUACAAAAGUCAAGUAAAUGAUAUCGCUGAUAUUUUGGUAGGGGUUUUGCUUAUGAUUGCGGCACUCUUUAAUAUGUACCAUUUGCAAUACAUUUAAGUAAAAAUAUUAUUAUAUAUAAAGUCCUAAGGCAGUCAUUAAGAAAACCCAUGUAGUUACUUCAAACAUGUGGUAUUAUUGAUUAUCAAAGUAAUGGCAUUAAAGGCAUGACUUCCCCACUCCACCGGUCCAGCUGCAACUGCAUUAAUGGAGUAAAAAAGACACAUACCUAGCUACAAAACUCAAUUAUGGCUUGUUUCCAAACCUUACCAAACCAUGAACUCAACAUGAUACUUCAAACAAUUGAAUCACCAAACUAAAAGAGAAAAAAAGAAUUUCAAAAACUAGAAUAAAUUGCUUGGAUGUUUAAGUUCAAACCUGGGAAUAUAUAUAUAUAGAAACGCAAAAGCUGAAGCAAAAAGAAAAGAAAAAAGCCAGUGUAACCUCCAGUAAGAAGCUCAAAAGAAUGGAAAUGCUAGCAUUAAUUACCAAUCAGAAUUAAUAUAUAGUAAAGUAAUUAAGUUGAAAAAAAGAACUUUGCAAAUGAAGAAGAGACAGAAAACAACACACAUAAAAAAUGGACAAAGACUGAUGAUGUUUGUAAACCAUCCAGAAAAUAGAAUAAGAAGAGAACAAAUCCAUCAACCACCUCUCUGAAAACUAUCCAUUUGCCAGCAGAGGAACAAAAAACCAGCACCAGCAGAGGAACAUAGAACGAGCGAUGAAAGAAGAGAUGAGAGCAAAGAACCACUGUUGUAUGUGUGGCUAAAAAAGUAAAAGACUAGCCCAAAAGUACUUUUUUGCUGAAAAAGCUAAAAAAUUCUACUUUUUCAUCUGCCCAAAAGCACUUCAAAUAAGUUCGAAAUUUGCUACCAAAUGAAGUCGGUUCUGCAUUGCUUUUUAGAUAAAAGCACUUUUCCUUUACUGAAUUGAAUUAAUGGAAAAAAACGACAAAGAGUGUAAUUUUUACUUUACUUUACUGAAAGUGAAUGGAUAAAUAUGGAAUUAGAGAAUAAAGAAAAUUGGGGAAAAAAGAAGAAGAAGAAGGAGAAGUGUUAUCAUGAUUAUGACCCUUGGAUAUUAUGGAAGAAGUGAAGAAAUAAUUGCAAUUGGAUAUUAAUUAUAAUGUUGGGAUUUUUAUUAAUGUUUUAAUUAUAUUAAUUGUUACAUGGCUGUGUGGCUCAAAUGGACGUGUGGAAGAGGUCAGUUUAUGUGGCUCCCGUACUUGUUUUGAUUUUCGAUUCUUGAUAAGUGUCAAAAGUAACAUAUUUUAAUUUCGUUCUUAAUACGUUUUUAGAUGAUUAAUCAAUGCAAAAUGGUGAAUUUUAUACUCAUAAUCCUUUAAAUUCAUAUUUCUAUACUUAUAAGAGCAUUUUGAGAAAAAAAUGAGUGAAAACGGAGCGAAAAUCAGACAAUUGGAGUAGAUUUCAGGAGCCACACGGGUUGGACACACGGUCAUGUGAGCCACACGAGCUGCCACACGAGCUGCCACACAGCCAUGUGCCAGACCGUGUGGAUUUCGCGUUUCACACUCCAAAUAUGUGGAAUCACGCAGUUUUUAGGUUUUUCGGGCAUUCUUAAACCUAUAUAUACCAAAUAUAAGGAGAGAAGUAAGAGCCGUCAGAGAAUAUUGAAGAAAACAACUCAGAAGACACCAUUGAAGCCAACUUUGAAACAGAUUUCCACUAAGAUUGAAGAUCUCCUUUUGAUUUAUUUGAAGUUUAUUAUGAGUUUCUUUAUUUUUUGUGGUUAUAUUGUCUUUGAGAUGUUUUUAUUCGCGAUUAUGAACUAAUUUUCUAAUACCUAGGGGAGAUGAACCUUAUAAUGAAUUUUGUCUUUUGAUUUCUGUUUUAUGCAAUGAAUAAUUGAAUCUUAUUCUUAGUUAUGUGUGCUUAAUUCUUGAUUUAAUAUUUUCUAAUUAUUAAUUCAUGUUUGAUGUGCUUAAUUCAAAGUAGAUCUAGCAUAAUUGAGUGGAGUUGCAUGUAAUCUUAGAAAUAGGACGACAUAAAUCUACCGAAUUAGGUAUUCAUAAACGAGAACUCAAUCAUAUCCAUCGGCACAAAACCCAACCAGGUGAGUCACAUUUACAUAGUGGAUUCUACCCAUCGAACUCACCUCAUUGAUGAACUCUUAAUAUUUAACUAAAGUUUGCUUUCUACUUUUUUUUUUAUUUCCAUUUUUAAGAAAAUGUUAUUUUAUUAAUUCAAUUAUCAAAAUUAAUAUUAUUUUAUUUAAAUUAGAUUAAUCCUCAUUUAAUUAUUACAAGUAUAUUAUUUUAGAAUUAUAAAAAUUAUUAUUUAAUAAAUUAAACAAAUAAACAUUUAAAAUCACAUACAUUACAUUAAAAACUAAUAUAUCUAAAUAUAUAUUUUACCACUUAUUUUAAUCUUGUUAUUUUUAAUUUCAUCAAAAUUAUAUAUCACUCGAGCCACUGCGACUGCUGACUGGCGAUUAUUGCCUGCAUAAUUUGAUGAAAGGUUCUGAAUUAAUACAUCCAAGACUUUUAUGAGCAUCGCCAUUGACUGACCGACGACUUGUAUGAAAGAAUUUUCCACAUUAGCUUUAUUAUGGACUGAUUUUUCAAAGAAAGACUUGCUCUCAGUUGCAGCCAUAAAAUAAAUGAAUGAUUGGCAUUUUACAUUAAAGAACAUCCCAUUGUUUAUUUCUUCAUCGGAGCUCCACCGGAACCUGAUGAUGUUAAGACCCAGACUUGUCUUGUUUAGCGUCUUUGCCCUUACUUUAUCUCUAUCCCCAGAUGUUUCCGAUGGUAGAGCAGGCAAAAGCAACCACUGCAACCCAUCUUUGUGUGGACACGUUAAUAUCAGUCACCCUUUCCGCCUAAAAGGUCAGCCUCGUGGAUGUGGUGACCGUAGGUUUGAAUUAGAGUGCAAGAGAAACCGCACCAGUUUUCCCACGAAAUACGGAAACUUUUAUGUCCUAAACAUCUCUUAUGUUUACGGAACGCUUCGACUUGUGGAUGUGAGUCUGGUCGAUGAAAACUGCUCAAUUCCUCGCAGUUCCAUUGUCUAUUCUCCAUACAGCUAUCAAGAAGACAUAAAUUAUGGAAGACACACCAUGUAUCUGGUAAAUUGCACGACAAGGAUGAAGUCUUCUUCAGUUUAUGUCGAUGCUUCUCGUUGCCCAACCAAUAGCUCUUCUUCUCCUUGGACCUACUUCUACUUUCCGGUCUCGUUUUCAAAUAUAUCCGAUUUCCAUCAUUCGUGCAGAUUUAUAGCCCAGUUUCCUGUCAUGCUUUCCAAUAUUAGUGGCUUAUCCCCUUCGUACAUUUACAAAAACCUGUUGGAAGGCGUCGACGUGUACUGGUAUAUACCCUAUACUGAUUGGACUUUAAACCCGAUUCUCAAAGUGUAAGAGACUUCGAUCUUUAGAUUCCUUCAAUCUAUAACUUUUCAAGGUCUUAUUUAUUGAUUGGUUGCUUUUGUUUUUCCUUGGGGGGGGGGGGGGGGGGGUUAUUCUAGCUUGGUGAACUAUCUGCUACUUCCAAUUACAGCAUACAUAGUAAGCAAUGUGGCCUUUCUUCUACCGGGAAUCUUCGGCCAUUAUCCUUUUGGGAAAGGUUAAUCUUUCAGAUUUCAUAAGUAUCUUUAUUUAUUGGAUUUGCCCUUGAAUUGUAUUCGAGUUAGUAAUAUUAUUGUUCAAUUUGCGUUUUAAACAGGAGCCACCUUCGUUUGUCUUGCAGUAUCAGGUAAAUCUCUUUCCCUUCCCACUUUUUAUGUUAUCUUUAUAAAAUAAUCAUGAAUGCUGAUUUAUCCAUGUGUAUGCACCUUGAUGGGCAAGCAGGCAUAUUGUUAGCGAGAACUUUGUUGGGGAUAUUCUGCCUCAUUACACUUGUCAUACGCAAACUAAAGAGGAGGCAUUUGUCGAUGGAUGAUGAUAUCAAAAACUUUCUUUAAAGUCAAAAUAAUUUAAUACCUAUUCGAUAUUCGUAUUCUGAAAUAAAAAGAAUUACGGAAGGUUUUAAAGUUAAAUUAGGUCAAGGUGGUUAUGGUUCUGUGUUUAAAGGAAAGCUUCGCAGUGGUCGGCUAGUGGCAAUAAAAAUGUUAGAUAAAUCCAAAGCAAAUGGAGAAGAUUUCAUCAAUGAAGUUGCUACUAUUGGAAGAAUUCAUCAUAUUAAUGUAGUGCAACUUAUUGGGUUUUGUGUAGAGAGAUCAAAACAAGCUCUUGUAUAUGAUUUUAUGGUGAAUGGGUCUCUGGAUAAAAUUAUAUUUUCAAAGGAGAAUUGCACUUUAAGUUGGCAAAAAUUAUUUGAUGUUGCACUUGGUGUGGCUCGAGGAAUUGAAUACUUGCACCGAGGUUGUCAAAUGCAAAUUUUGCAUUUUGAUAUCAAGCCGCACAACAUUCUUUUGGAUGAAAACUUUAUCCCUAAAGUUUCUGAUUUUGGUCUUGCAAAAUUAUAUUCAGUGGAUGACAGUAUUAUUUCUCUCACAGCGGCUCGUGGUACAUUAGGAUACAUUGCUCCUGAAUUAUUUUACAGAAAUAUUGGAGGCAUCUCAUAUAAAGCCGAUAUUUAUAGUUUUGGAAUGUUAUUAAUGGAAAUGGUGGGAAGAAGAAAGAAUUUGAAUGCAUUUGAUGAUCAUUCUAGUCAAAUUUAUUUUCCGUCAUGGAUUUAUGAUCGAUUUGAACAAAGAGAGAACAUAGAAUUAGGGGAUGUAACAGAAGUUGAUGACAAAAUAGCAAGGAAGAUGAUCAUGGUUGCUUUUUGGUGCAUACAAAUGAAUCCCACUAAUCGUCCUUCAAUGAGCAAAGUUUUGGAAAUGCUCGAAAAUGAACUUGAUCAACUUGAAUUGCCGUCCAGACCUUCACUAUUUUCUCUCGAAAAGUCGAUUGAAGAUCAUGUUAGUAAGAAUGUAUCGGAGGAACCAUCAACGUCAAAAAGUUGUGUGGACCUCUAAGUAUAAUUUUUGAUUUUAUUCGGACCUUUUAUUCAUAUAGUUCUGCAACUGUAAGGUUUUAAUUUGUAGCAUUUCAUGUUCAGUUGUAUAAUAUCCAGCAUCAUGUAAUACAACUAUUAAUGGAUGUGUGUUUUAGACUUUAGCUCCUUAGCUUCAUGUUUCAAUUAUUAAAAAUGUCUCCUUGUCACCAUAUAAUGAGUUAAUAUCAAAUUCGUUUACAAUUAUUUAGUAUAUAAGUGACUCUUAACAUUGUGUGAUCUCAUGAGAAGGUUUUUACUCUCUUAUCGUAAUAUGUAAUCAUGAUGAUAAGAGUAUCUGAUACGGGGUUGCGCGCGGACCAAGAUCGAGUUGCCAAAUCACGAGAAACUCCUACGAAAACCCUAAACAAUCAGAUCUGAAACGAAACAGAAAAUUAAAAGAUUAGAUUUUUGAAUUUUCAAAUCUGAAAUAAAAUCCCCAAAUCAGCAAAGAAUCAAAUUGAGAAUAGAAAUAAGUGUUAGGGUUAUUGAAACCCUCAAGGAGAUUGUGAUUCUGCCCAAUUGAACACCAAGAUAGUUUUCCCCAAAUUUCGACAAUCUAAUUUCACCCAAAAAGAGUAUGGAAAAACCCUAGAAAUUGGGGAUUUUUGGGCUGAUUCCUUAAGAUAGAAAAAGGCUGAAAACGCAAUAAGAACAAAAAAUAGAUUAGAUAAUGAUUCAGCACAAGUAGAAAUAAAGAAAGAAUUGACAGUAAGAAAUUAAAAGAUAAGUCCUAAGAAGCCUUGAAAUCCCGAAAGAUCUCACAACUCCCUUCAAACGGCUCUAAUCUCCCCUCCAAAGAAUAUCAAUGGCAAGAAGAAGGUUGAAGAUGGCUCCCACAAUCAAAAAGAUUGUUAAAACAACUUCUAAAGAAAACUCAAGAGAAAAUCCUUGAAGAACUCAAAGAGAAUUUUCACUCAAAUCAAAUCUGAAAUUUUCAAUGUAAUUGUAAUGUAAUGUAGGGUGGCUGGCCAAGCCAUAUAAAUAGGCCUUUCAAAUGUUUUCCUAAUUUAAUUAGAACACUAAAACUAAAACUAAAAAAAACUCCUAAUUAUUUUAAUAUGGAAAUUCGGCCAAGGGUCUUUUAUUUGGGACUCUUGGACUGAAUAUAAAAAUUUAAACUAAGUAAAAUAAAUAAAUAAAUAAAUAAAAAUAAAACUUUACAACUUGGGCCACUUUGACAAUUUGGCCUGAUUUUCAACUAAGUAUGGAUGGAUUUCUUGAUUGGGCUGGGAAUUUGCUUAUUGGGCCUCGCCUUCAAGAAUUUGGGCUUUUGUGACUCGUAUCAUUCCCCCUUCCUCAAAAAGAUUCGUCCUCGAAUCUGAAAAAUCAAAUGAACUCGACUUUCCUCUAUCGAACGGGACUAAUGGCAAUUGAGUCCACUGAGAAGAAUAGCCAUGAGAUAGUAAAUAGCAACGGAAAUAAGCUUGUAGUCCAAUCAUAAGCAUAAUAGAACAGGUAUAACGCAUGUGAAUGGAUAGAUUCAGAUUACCAUGCAAACAAUCUAAUUUACUCACCACUGCCUCGUCAAAUAUUUGAAACAAAGAUGGACAUGUUUUAAGGCAUUCAGUCGUCUCACAUUGUUCCCACAAACCAUGAAUAAAUUGCGAGUAAUAAAUCAAAUGGUAAACAUAAUCGUCACAAGUAGGUAUUUGAAAAGAUUCACAUGGUUCACAGAGUUGCAUAAUCAUACCAUGCAUUAAUCGACGGUCUAUAGAUUCACUCACACAUGCAUUAUCAAAAACAAGAAUCUUUUUAUCAACCAUCAAAACAGAUAGAUCAUCAAUAAAUAAAAUAGGACAGUCAAGCACGUUUCGAUCUAAGUGUUCAUCAACACGAUCUUUAUCACUAUCCGAGGAGUACAAAAGUGUUUCAAAGGUUUCAAGCAUCUUACCUCGAUAAGCAGAAGAAUAAGGGUCGAUUUUACCUUUUUCAUUUAAAACAAACCUUCGCUCAUCGGGGGCAUAGUGUAGUCGAAUCUUCGUUGUUGAGUUAACGUUUGUCAAAUGGAACUCAAACUUCAUGUACAACCACAUAAACUGUUUAAGACACGAAUAUAAAUUGAAAACAAAUUUGGAAAAUUUCAUUACCUUAUUCUCCAAAACAGAUUUGGACAAAUUCGAGGAUUUUACACAAGGUAAAUCAAGAGAAUAAGAAAUCACGCUUCUUUUCGUAAUGACUUUAUCAACCACAAUCGAAGAGUAACAAUUAAUCGGAUCAAAAUGAGGGGAUCUUUUAAGAACUAAGUCACCAAAAGUUUGAUCAAUAAUUUUCAAAUCUGCACUGGACUCGGUUUCUAAAAUUUCCUUACCUCGCUUACCUUCGGGAUCAUGUAGUGUGAUUUCAUCUUUGCCUAAGUUGAUCGUAUGAAAGCGUCUUUCAUUUGAGAGGUAUUGAAGUUGAAAGUUAUCUUUCGAUCUUUCGGGAACCUGAAAAGUAGCAACACAAGAAAAAUUCAUAUCUUGGUUAGUGGAAACAUUCCUCACUAUCCUUUCCACGUCUUUUUCUUUUGUUUCUUUUUCUAAUUCAUUUUCUCUUCUUUCUUCAAUUUCUUUUUCACUCUCAAUCUCUUUUUGCUCUUUUUCAUUCUCUUUUUCUUUUUCCUCACUUGUUUUAACAGAAUUUUUCAGUUUGAUUUGGUCCUCAUGGACUUAUUCCGGAGUGAGCGGCACUAAGGUGAGUUUCUUUCCUUGAUGCUUGAAAGAAUACCUAUUGGUAUGACCAUCGUGAGUGACUUUUCGAUCCAGUUGCCAUGGUUCUCCUAGCAACAAAUGGCAGGCUUGAAUAGGCAUUACGUCGCACACAACUUCGUCUUGAUACUUACCAAUAGAAAAGGCGAUGCGCACUUGUUGAGUGACCCUAAAUUGGCCUUCGUUGCUAAGCCCUUGUAGUUGAUAAGGUUGUGGAUGCUUGGUAGUGGUUAAGCAAAGCUUUUCCACCAUCGUCGUGCUGGCUAUGUUCGAGCAACUUUCACCAUCAAUAAUAACUCUACAAAGCUUACCUUGUACGUGGCAGCGAGUAUGAAAGAGAUGUUCUCGUUGCUGCUCGCUCUUUGGUUUUGCCAAAGAUGAUUGUCCAUGAUCAUGACAAUCAUCAUCCAUUCUAGGGACACGUUCAGGGUUGCACCUAUGGGGCUGGUUAUCCCUAUCUUCCUUAAUUGGAUCUCGAUAUUGAUGUUUUUGAUUCACUCGUACCUCAUUCAAAGUAGUAUUCAAUGCUUGAAGUGUAGCAUUUAUUUGUGUGAUUGCAGCAGUAUGUCUGUCUAACUGUUGUUGGACUUUCAUAAGUGCAUCAUUAUUACCACCUUUAGACAUCUUCAAAACCUGUAAAAAAUAAACACUCAAAAAUAAAAGUUAGCAAACCUCACCAUUAAUCACUCAAAAAGAAAAAUCAAAUUCUCAAUGAGGUCGAAUUCAAUCUUGUGAGUUCUUUAUCAGAGUUUAUAUCAACCAAUUAGAGAGUGUGAACCAAACUACCAAAGAAUCCUAAUUUGCACUAGGAUGCCAAAAACUGACGAGACACCAAGUGAUUCGUGUUGCACCGAGGAAGGAGUUGUGCACACGUGUAAAUCCUACUAACACAAGAAACAAGAAGGUGUUAGAUAACGUAACAGAAGCAAACAAAUGAAAACCUACAGCUAAGAAUCAAUAAAAAUUGCUGAAAACAGAAAACCCGAAAAACUGCGGAGUAACUUGACAACUUCGUUCGAGGUGUUCCUGAUCUCCAAAAAUCACGAAAUUAAAUCUCGAAUGUCCUUAAAUAUUUAAUUUUUGAUCUGGAAAUUUUGGGCACCAAAUUCAACCCGCUGAAUCUUUUUUAAAUUUUUAUUGAAUUUCGUCUUUUUUGAUUUUUUUGACUUUUUUGACUGAUUUUUUUGCGGGAAUAAUUUUUUAUAUUCAAUCACAGUGCCAAAAACAUGUAUGUAAAAUUUCAGAUCAAUAGGACAACGUUUACCCACUCAAAUGAAUUUUUUUUGAACAAUUUUUCUGGGUAAAACUGUUGUUUAUGCUUUAAAAAAUAGAGAUCAGUUUAGAAAUCAACCAAGAACACCCAAAAUACCCAAAAUCUGAUACCAAAUGAUACGGGGUUGCGCGCGGACCAAGAUCGAGUUGCCAAGUCACGAGAAACUCCUACGAAAACCCUAAACAAUCAGAUCUGAAACGAAACAGAAAAUUAAAAGAUUAGAUUUUUGAAUUUUCAAAUCUGAAAUAAAAUCCCCAAAUCAGCAAAGAAUCAAAUUGAGAAUAGAAAUAAGUGUUAGGGUUAUUGAAACCCUCAAGGAGAUUGUGAUUCUGCCCAAUUGAACACCAAGAUAGUUUUCCCCAAAUUUCGACAAUCUAAUUUCACCCAAAAAGAGUAUGGAAAAACCCUAGAAAUUGGGGAUUUUUGGGCUGAUUCCUUAAGAUAGAAAAAGGCUGAAAACGCAAUAAGAACAAAAAAUAGAUUAGAUAAUGAUUCAGCACAAGUAGAAAUAAAGAAAGAAUUGACAGUAAGAAAUUAAAAGAUAAGUCCUAAGAAGCCUUGAAAUCCCGAAAGAUCUCACAACUCCCUUCAAACGGCUCUAAUCUCCCCUCCAAAGAAUAUCAAUGGCAAGAAGAAGGUUGAAGAUGGCUCCCACAAUCAAAAAGAUUGUUAAAACAACUUCUAAAGAAAACUCAAGAGAAAAUCCUUGAAGAACUCAAAGAGAAUUUUCACUCAAAUCAAAUCUGAAAUUUUCAAUGUAAUUGUAAUGUAAUGUAGGGUGGCUGGCCAAGCCAUAUAAAUAGGCCUUUCAAAUGUUUUCCUAAUUUAAUUAGAACACUAAAACUAAAACUAAAAAAAACUCCUAAUUAUUUUAAUAUGGAAAUUCGGCCAAGGGUCUUUUAUUUGGGACUCUUGGACUGAAUAUAAAAAUUUAAACUAAGUAAAAUAAAUAAAUAAAUAAAUAAAAAUAAAACUUUACAACUUGGGCCACUUUGACAAUUUGGCCUGAUUUUCAACUAAGUAUGGAUGGAUUUCUUGAUUGGGCUGGGAAUUUGCUUAUUGGGCCUCGCCUUCAAGAAUUUGGGCUUUUGUGACUCGUAUCAGUAUCUUAUAAUAAUUAUGAGUGUGGCGUGACGGUUGCUCACUUUAUUUUUUAAUCAUGUAGCCAGGGGUUCGAGCUCCACUCCUAGAAAUGGAACACCUUCCAACAAUGAAUACCUUAAUUUUGACAAUUAAACAACAUUUAAGAUAGAAUCUUAUCAUUUAUUAGUAGAAUAUAUAUACUAACAGCCAUGCAGCAUUUCAUUUAUGAGUUCAAAUAAAAUCAAGUUUCAACUGCUUCUAGUACUACUAACAAUGAGGCUCGAGAUUGCUCUUAUUCCAUUUCUGAAAUAGUGGCUAGAUCUCUGUUAACCGGCUUCCUAGGUGUGGUGGCACCCAUCGUCUUCGGUGUAUCUGUCGAUGCAAAAGGAUUUGGUGGCAUUGUAAGAACGUCAAGCUCUCCCUCUAACAUCUGAACCACCACUUUCAUCGAAGGACGAUCAACGGGAUACCACUGAAUGCACCAAAGUCCAACGAUCAUGAGUUUCUUUGCUAUCCCUGUUUGUGCAUCAUCUUCAAUUCGAAUCCCGAACUCCUCUCCUUUAUCCAAACGAUCAUAUGCCCAUUCUGGGAAAUAAACUUGGCUUGUAUUCUCGACCGUAACAUCUAUGUUCUUUCUCCCCCCAACCAUUUCAAGCAACAGCAUUCCAAAACUAUAAACAUCAGACUUAUAUGACACAUUUCCGAAGUUCCGAGACAGUACCUCGGGUGCAAUAUAGCCCAUGGUACCUCUAGCUGUUGUCAUUGAAAUAGCACUUUGUUCCUUGGAACACAAUUUAGCAAGGCCGAAAUCAGAGAUCUUAGGAUUGAAGUUGUGAUCAAGCAAAAUAUUGUGAGGUUUGAUGUCGAAAUGGAGGAUACGUUGCUCGCAACCUUGAUGCAGGUACUCGAUGCCUUUGGCUACACCGACAGCAAUAUCCUGAAGUUUUUCCCAACUAAGGGAUCGAUCCUUGCCCUUGGCUGCAAAUAUGAACUUCUCUAAUGACUCGUUUGGUAGGUAUUCAUAAACGAGAGCUCGGUCAUAUCCAUCGGCACAAAAGCCAACCAGGCGAGUCACAUUCACAUGGUGGAUUCUGCCCAUCGAACCCACCUCGUUGAUGAACUCUUCACCAUUUCCCUUGAAAUUAUUGAGUACCUUGACAGCAACUAAAACAUCACUGGAAAGUCUGCCUUUGAAGACAGUUCCAUAGCCUCCUUGUCCCAGUUUGUCCUUGAAAUGAUUAGUUAUCCUUUUAAUAUCAGCAUAGGAGUAUCUUGAGGGUUUAAACCCUUUAUAAUCUUCCAAAAACUUUUCAAUCUUGACUUGACUUUCUUUCUCUUUUUUGUCUAACUGAUAUCUCCACCCAACUGCAAUGGCAAUGGUUGCAGCAAUUGAAGAACCCAACACAAUACCUGCAAAUCAGCAUACAUCCCUCUGUUAUAUCUCGUCUUAAAUUUUUGAAGUUAAAAGGGAAAUUCCAUUUACCUACAAUCAUUAGCCUUUCUCCCAAACCUGCCAAGCAUUUAAAAUUAUUCAGCUUUGAUACAUGGGAAAUCUAAGAAAAGGGCUCACUGUAAGUUUACAACAUUAAGCUUCACGUUGAUGCAGGCUAAUGAAUUUUUUAACGUACGUUGUACAAUUAUAAUAGUUAAAACAUACCUAUAUGGUGCUUGGGGAUAUCAAAACACUCGGUUUGUUCCUUGGUGCUAUUAUUGUUGUUCAAUCUACAUCCCCUUCCUUGAGCUUCGCAAUCACCACAGUCUGGUUUAUACCAACGUAACUGAAAACGGAUACCAUAAGGAGAAAUGGGUGUUGAGAAGUUGCGAAAGUAGCUGCAAUUCAACAGGUUGAGUCCAUAAUAAUUUUCAUCAGAAGCAAAAGUUAUAAUUUGGGAGCCAGGGGUGCUUAAGCAAGCGACUCUAUAUCUUUUAUACAAAGCCUUCUCUUGGCUUAAACAUUCGAACAAGGUAUAGUUAGAUUCAGCUGGUUGGGAUCUAUAAUCUUUUAGGCCGCUGAAACCUGGUUGUUCCUCCGCGAAUGGAAAGGCAGAUAAAUUGAGAUCUAAAAGCUGCUGCCAGAGGCAACGGCCGGGAACGUAGAAGUCAAUCCGUUGAGCUUCAUAAUCUAUGUGCUUCACCAAUAGCUUCAGCGAACGUGGUAUCUUCAGCAGGGUCUGUUUGUUUUCUGAGCAGGAAAGCUGAAACCCAGGAUAAGGAUAGCUGCAGUGGAGAGACUGCUGGCCUUCUAAACGGAAGGGGAAACGGACAGGUGGAUCCUGGUGGUUGUGUUGGAACACUGGCAGCAACAAAUCAAACAAAUGAAAACACCAAGAGCAUAAGCUCACGAACAGCAAGCAGAAACAGAAUAGAAAACUCAAAAGCAAAAAAUGUAAAAUGAAUGGAAUACUACUUCUUUUCAUUUCAUUUGAAAAUAUAAGAGUUACAAAAUUAGAAUGUCAGUUACCUAAACUUGUAACUGCUCCCACCUAUUUUGGCAAGUUGCCAACUAAAGUAAUACAAAGAAAGCUGAAAAAAUUUUAGCCAUUACAUCCAUCAAUUCAAAUCUUAACAACUCUAAAAGUCUAGUUAUAUUUAGUUUGGAUGGCAUUACAAAAUGAACAAAAGUAAACCAAAUAAUUUAGCUACUUCUGGUCCUGCUUGAAUGCUGGUCUGCUGCAGCUGCUGGUCUUCAUCAUGGCCUUCUGUUGCAUUGCAGUCCAUGCUCAACACUCCUCCUUGGACUGUAGGCAACAAACACCAACCAAAUCUCUAAGAAUUUCAAACCUCAUAGCACCAAGAGGCUUUGUUAAAAUGUCAGCCAAUUGAUCUUGUGAACUACAAUAUGCAAGAUUCACAUCCUUUGAUUGUACUGCCUCUCGAACAAAAUAAAAUUUGAGCUUAAAGUGCUUUGUUUUGCCAUGAAAAACAGCAUUCUUGGAGAUAGCUAUUGCUGAUUGAUUAUCAACCAUAAUCUCAGUAGGCUCAAAUUGUUCCUCAUUCAAAUCACACAACAAUUUUCUAAGCCAAAUAGCUUGGCUUACUGCUCCAGCUGCUGCUAUGUACUCUGCCUCAGCAGUUGAUUGAGCAACUAUUUGCUGUUUUCUAGAGCUCCAACAGAAAGCUCCUGAACCAAGAGAAAAGAGGUAGCCUGAGGUACUCCUCAUAUCAUCAAUCGAACCUCCCCAGUCACUGUCUGAGUAACCAGAUAACUUCAGCUGACCUCCUGUCUUGAACAUCACUCCAAACUUCAAGGAUCCUUUCACAUACCUGAGGAUUCUCUUUGCAGCUUUUAAAUGUGAUGUGUUGCAGCUAUGCAUAAAACGAGAUAGCAAACUGACCGAAUGCAUAAGGUCAGGUCUAGUUGCUGUCAAGUAUAGCAAACAUCCAAUUAGACUUCUAUACUCUCUUUCAUCCACCUUUUCUUCAUCUCCAUAGCUGCUCAACUUCUGUCCCAUGACUAAAGGUGUACCCACUGGCUUGCAAUUUUCCAUAUGGAACUUAGUGAGAAUUUUCAAGGCAAAUGCAUGCUGGCUGAUAAAAAUGCCUUGAUCAGACUGGUCUACUUCCAUACCAAGGAAGUAAGUCAUGAUUCCCAAGUCUGUCAUGUCAAACAUGUUUUGCAUAUUCUUCUUGAACUCCUGAAUCAAAUCGACCCUGCUUCCAGUCACUAAUAGAUCAUCCACAUAUAUUGAGACAAUCAGCAAAGUCUCAUUUUUAGACUUCUUUAUAAACAAAGUUGGCUCACUCAAACUUUUCUCGAAAUUGAGCCUAAACAGGUAAGCAUCUAUCCUGUCAUACCAGGCUCGAGGAGCCUGUUUUAGUCCAUAGAGUGCCUUCUUCAGCUUGUAAACCUUGUCCUCCUUUCCUUGGACUUUAAAUCCAUCAGGCUGUUCAACAUAAAUUUCCACUUUAAGAAAGCCAUUCAGGAAAGCUGACUUGACAUCAAGCUGAUGGACCUUCCACUGUUUCUGUGCAGCGAAAGCAAAUAGAAGCUUUAUGGUAUCCAGCCUUGCCACUGGAGCAAAUGUCUCCUCAAAAUCAAUGCCAAACUGUUGAUUGUACCCUUUCACCACAAGCCUUGCCUUGUGCUUGUUCAGAGAGCCAUCUGCAUUGAAUUUGGUCCUAAAAACCCACUUGACACCUAUGACUUUCUUCUGAUCAGGUCUGUCUACCAGAUCCCAAGUAUCAUUCUUAUGGAUCAUGUCGAUUUCAGCCUCCAUAGCCUUCUUCCAGCUCUUGCUUCUAGCAGCUUCUUCAUAGCUUGAAGGCUCAACAAUGGCCACAUUGCACCUUUGGUAGAUAUCAGCAAUAGACCUGGUCCCUCUCACAGGAGCAUCAUCUACAUUGGCAUUACUGACUUCAUUUUCUGCCAAUUCCAAAUUGCUGCCAAUCUGCUCUUCUUCAAACUGACUUGUGUUAGAGUCAUCUAGACUCCAAAACCUUCCUUCAUCGAAUUUGACAUCCCUGCUUACCAAAAUCUUCUUGGUUGAAGGAUCAAAUACUCUGUAGCCCUUCUUGCAGCUACUGUAACCAACAAAUAUACCAGGAACUGACCUCUUCUCGAGCUUGGUUCUUCUUUCUACAGGGACAAGUACAAAACACUUGCAACCAAACACUUUUAAAUGGGAAACAGUUGGUUUAAGAUCAUACCAUACUUCAAAAGGAGUUUUAUCAUUCACAGCAUGUGUUGGCAGCCUAUUGAGCAGGUAUACUGAGGUGUUGACACCUUCAGCCCAAAAAAUGCUUGGAAGCUUGCUUUGAAACAACAUGCACCUGGUCAUGUUCAUCACUGUUCUGUUCUUCCUCUCACACACUCCAUUUUGCUGAGGAGUGUACACUGUGGUUAACUGAUGAUGAAUCCCAGCCUGCUCACAUAGCUUCUGAAAUCUUUCAGACAAGUAUUCAGAACCAUUGUCUGUCCUCAAGGCCUUAAUCCUGCAGCCUGUUUGAUUUUCUGCCAAUGCCUUGAACUUUCUAAAAACUUCAAACACUUCUGACUUCUGUUUCAUGAAAUAAACCCAGCAAAAUCUGGUUAGAUCAUCAAUAAACAGUAUAAAAUACUUACUGCCAUUCAGUGAAGGGGUCUUCAUUGGUCCACAGACAUCUGAGUGCACCAACUCAAGUCUUUCUCGAGCCCUCCAUGCUUGGUUAGCUGAAAAGGGCAACCUGGCUUGUUUGCCAAGCUGACACACCUCACAAACGCCUUCACUUGCACUAAACUUCACCAUGUCUUCUGUCAUGUUCAUUUUGUGCAGCAAAUCAAGUGAUUUGAGGCUAACAUGGCCAAACCUCUUGUGCCAAAGAUCAGUAUUGUCAACUGAGCUUGUAUAUGCACUUUUCUCAAGCUGACUCACUUCCAGCAUAAAACAUUUGUCUCCCAUAGGUGCUGAGACAAUCUCCCUACCAUGAGCAUCACUUAUAACACAAGAAUCAUUCUUGAAAACUAGUGAAAAGCCUUUCUUGACUAGCUGGCCUACACUGAGUAAAUUUUGGUCUAUUUCUGGCACAUAGAGCACAUCAGAAAUGAUUUUGUUACCUGAACCAGUGUGAAUGACCACAUCACCUCUACCUUUUGCUUCAAUCAAGUUGCCAUUGCCUAUCCUGACCUUCGAGACAUAGCUCCUGUCAAGAUUCUUGAAAAGGCUCUCAUCUGCAGCCAUGUGGUGUGAGCAGCCACUAUCCACAAGCCAACUGCUCAUGCUUUUAGCUGCAUAACAUGAAGCUGUAAAUACAUGCUCCUCCUGAGCUUGGACAUCCUCGGCAGACUUGGCUUGUACUGGUUGUGCUUGUGCCUUCUCAUGACUUCUACAGAUUUUCUCAUGAUGACCAUACUUCUUACAGCUUCUACACUGUAUAUCUGGUCUGGUCCAGCAAAAUUUUUCCAGGUGAUUGGUCUUCUUGCAGUGAAUGCAUAGUGGAAACCUCCUUCUACCGGCAUCUUUCUUUGAUUUUUCCUUCUUUUCAAACCAAGGCUUCUUAGCUUUCUGGCUUGAGCUGGAGCCUUCUCUGACCUUUGCUUGAAAAGCACCUUCAAGACUCUCCUCCUGCCUACUUGCUCUUCUCUGUUCAAGUGCAUAGAGUGAGUUAACCAACUCAGACAAAGAAAUGGUUGUGAGAUCUCUCGAGUCCUCCAAUGAGGAGAUUUUUGACUCAAACCUUUCAGGUAAGGUGGUAAUAACCUUCUCAACAACCCUACUAUCACUGAAAUCUUCUCCAAGGAGUCUAAUAUUAUUGACUGUAGCCAUAAUCCUAUCAGAAUAUUGCUUGAUAGUUUCUGACUCCUUCAUCUUUAAAUUUUCAAACUCCCUUCUAAGGUUGAUGACUUGUUGCUGCCUGGUCUUGUCUGAUCCCAUAAAUUCCUCUUUUAGCCUGUCCCAUGCCUGCUUGGGAGAGUUACAGGCCAUGAUACGAGUGAAAAUAACAUCUGAUAUUCCAUUCUGCAAACAGGCCAUAGCUUUGUGUUUCUUGGCUCGUUCCUCACCAUGUUGUCUGAUCUGAGCAAUGGUAGGAUUUGCUCUUAAUGGUGCUGGCUCGACAUCACUCUCAACUGCACUCCAGAGGUCAAGUGCUUGAAGAUAUGUCUUCAUUUUGACAACCCAAAUGUGGUAGUUGUCUCCAGCAAAAACUGGUGGUGGAGGAGGAGCAAAACUCAUGCUGCCAAGACUGACUUUGAAAACACAAAAAACUGACUUUGAAAAAAGACUAAAACAUAAACAACAGAGGUCCUCAAAGAUAGGAGGCUCUGAUUACCAUUUGUUGGAACACUGGCAGCAACAAAUCAAACAAAUGAAAACACCAAGAGCAUAAGCUCACGAACAGCAAGCAGAAACAGAACAGAAAACUCAAAAGCAAAAAAUGUAAAAUGAAUGGAAUACUACUUCUUUUCAUUUCAUUUGAAAAUAUAAGAGUUACAAAAUUAGAAUGUCAGUUACCUAAACUUGUAACUGCUCCCACCUAUUUUGGCAAGUUGCCAACUAAAGUAAUACAAAGAAAGCUGAAAAAAUUUUAGCCAUUACAUCCAUCAAUUCAAAUCUUAACAACUCUAAAAGUCUAGUUAUAUUUAGUUUGGAUGGCAUUACAAGAUGAACAAAAGUAAACAAAAUAAUUUAGCUACUUCUGGUCCUGCUUGAAUGCUGGUCUGCUGCAGCUGCUGGUCUUCAUCAUGGCCUUCUGUUGCAUUGCAGUCCAUGCUCAACAGGUUGCACCGCCGCACCUUGCAGUCGUCUUGGAUUGGCACUGCUUCUGCAACAUUCACAGCUAAGAUAAAGCAGAAUAACGAGUAAAUUAACAUUGUUCUUACUAACUUGUGAGCCCUUGAAGUGAAACGGGCUUUAAAUAGUUUCAUUGACAUAGGUGGUUCAGCCCUUGAGAGUUCCAAUUAUGCACGCAACGCAGCUGCUGCUUUACUAUAUAGAUUUGUCUCGUUUAACAGGGUCUUCAACUCUUCGUCCUCUCUUUGUCCUCUUUUAUGAGUAAAUGUUGGACAUGUUUGAUUGUUAGCAACCCUUUCUAAUCUUGUUACUAAUUUUCUUUUAUUCCCGU
rnacentral:lncRNA from 1 species